CUCCAAUUAUCACUAAUUAAAAUUUAGACAGAUCUAAACCAUAAAAAUAUCUAUUUGGUCCGUUAUUAACUUUUGCUAAUUAAAUCAAAUAUCAGUUUAGGCCAAGGUUUCAUCUUCCUCCUGGACGCAUGGUUAACAAGAGAGAGAUAAUAAUGGAGAUAUAACGUAAACAAGUAGUUUGAAAAGAAAUUAAAAGCCCAAAAGGGACCAAAAUUACAAAAGCCCUCUUCUUCGUCUUCUUCUUCUUCGCGCAAACCCAAGCCCACUACUCGCAGAAGAGAGAGGGAGAGAGAGAGAAAGGUCCUCGCUCGCAUAGUGCCUUCGAAGACAGAGAGACGAAAAAAAAUUGAAAUGCAAAAAAAAUUAUAGAGAGAGGGGGACGGGGAAUUAAAAACAAAAUUCGAGAGAGAGAGAGAGAAAGAGAGAAAGAGAGAGAGAGAGAGAGAGACUCGACGCACGCGUUCAUGGAUUCCAUUCGCGGGGAGGGUUCAGGUUCUAGGUCAAAAUUUGUGUAGUUUUGAUUGGGUGACCGUGGGGGAGUUCGUUAUUCUAAACCCUAGGUGUGAGAGAGAGAGGGAACUGAAAACUGAUUUCAGGUGCUUCAGUGUCGUGCCCUAGCUCCCAAAUUUUUGGCUUUGCUUUGGUUUCAGGUAUUUUUGGCUUAAUUUUCCUUUUUCUAUGUGUUCUUGAAAACCCUAGAAUCGAGUAAUGCUUGUAUUUAUGCAAAUUGUGAUGAUUGUACGCGUUUAGGUUUAGUUUGAGGGCCCAAUGUAGACGAAUAUGCUCGUGCUAUCAUUUUCUCAUCCAUUUUGAUUGAAUGCUUGAGGAUUGCGCGUUGGCUUGUGUUAUCCAGUACUUAUUUCAUUUAAAAUGAGAGUAACUGUUGGAAACUUAAGUGGCAUGUGCAUUUAACUGCUUAUCUACACAUUGUAAACUUUCACUAGAUGUUUCCUAAGUGCUCCUUAGAGGAAUUAAUAAGAAUUGUUGGUUUUGAGCUUCUCAACGAGUUCUGGAUGCAUGUAGAUAUCUACAUGUGGUAUAAAAUCCCAGUUACGUCGUUAUUAGUUAUUAAUAAUUUGAUAAUGCACAAUGCAUUUCCUUUGUUGAACUUUUAACUGCUCCUGCACUAGAUUGCCAUCUUUAUUCACCACAUUCAUUUGGCUACUAAAAUUACUAGUUUAACUAUAUUUGUUAGGUUUGCGACUAACAUAAUUAGACGAUUGAGCUGAAUUUUACCAAUUUAAUCUCCUAAGAUCACGGUUGGCAGCUGGAGCUUUUGAAAUUGUAAUGGGUAUUUAUAGCGGAUUUGGUAUCUUAGUAAAACAGAUUAAACAGAAGUAGGUGAAAGAAUAGGAUGUCAAAGUUCAUUUUAGGCAGUAUUAUUUAAUCUUCUUGAAUAUUUUUUACAUAGUUUGGCGAUGUGUAAUUCAGUCAUAUUUUAACGUGAAUGUUUUUUUCUUUUUUUUGGGAUAAGUAACAGUGACUAGUUGCUAUAAGUAUGGAAGCGCAUUGUUGCAUGAUGAGUUUUCGUUUCUCUUUGUCAUAGCAAAUACCAUUUAUGUAUUUAGUUCGGUUUUGCUGCCUUUAUUACGUUAACCACAUUUACGAUAUGGUGGCAAUCAUUUAGUUUUUAGUAAUUUUAGACAUCUAAAUGUUGUGGUUGCUGAGAAUUAAAAUUGAUGCUGGCGUAUUGUUGUAAAUGGAGAAUGUUUUCUGCUUAGACUGAAAUGUUUUAGUGCCUUUUCUUUCUGAUUUGGGAAACUUGCUUUACUACCCUUUACUGAAUAAUCAUACUNNNNNNNNNNNNNNNNNNNNNNNNNNNNNNNNNNNNNNNNNNNNNNNNNNNNNNNNNNNNNNNNNNNNNNNNNNNNNNNNNNNNNNNNNNNNNNNNNNNNNNNNNNNNNNNNNNNNNNNNNNNNNNNNNNNNNNNNNNNNNNNNNNNNNNNNNNNNNNNNNNNNNNNNNNNNNNNNNNNNNNNNNNNNNNNNNNNNNNNNNNNNNNNNNNNNNNNNNNNNNNNNNNNNNNNNNNNNNNNNNNNNNNNNNNNNNNNNNNNNNNNNNNNNNNNNNNNNNNNNNNNNNNNNNNNNNNNNNNNNNNNNNNNNNNNNNNNNNNNNNNNNNNNNNNNNNNNNNNNNNNNNNNNNNNNNNNNNNNNNNNNNNNNNNNNNNNNNNNNNNNNNNNNNNNNNNNNNNNNNNNNNNNNNNNNNNNNNNNNNNNNNNNNNNNNNNNNNNNNNNNNNNNNNNNNNNNNNNNNNNNNNNNNNNNNNNNNNNNNNNNNNNNNNNNNNNNNNNNNNNNNNNNNNNNNNNNNNNNNNNNNNNNNNNNNNNNNNNNNNNNNNNNNNNNNNNNNNNNNNNNNNNNNNNNNNNNNNNNNNNNNNNNNNNNNNNNNNNNNNNNNNNNNNNNNNNNNNNNNNNNNNNNNNNNNNNNNNNNNNNNNNNNNNNNNNNNNNNNNNNNNNNNNNNNNNNNNNNNNNNNNNNNNNNNNNNNNNNNNNNNNNNNNNNNNNNNNNUUUAUUUAUUAUUAUUUUUUCUUCUGUAUGAACUGGCUAAUCUUCCCCUUAUACUUUAUCACAGUGAAGCAAAAGGUAGUUUUGCCUUGACAGCCUCACCUCAUGGUGAUUCUGUUGAGAGUAGUGGUAGACCUGGGGUGCUUACAGUUUGUGAACCCAAUAGUGCUGAUAAUCUCUUGCUUUUCAAUGGUGAAAAUGAGUUGCUUGAGGGGGGAAGAAAUUCUAUACAUCUUAGUAGGAGAAAUAGAAUCGCAAAAUCAGAACUGUCUUCUCAGUUGGAUGGCACACAAAAUGCCAAGGAAUCAGAAGAUUCUGCAAUUGUUCGCCCAUAUGCUCGUCGGAAUCGAUCCAAGAUAAAUCGUGAUGCUGCACGAUCAAGUUCAACAGAUAUAAAUCAGACUCGUGGCAGUCACGGUUCUUCUUUACCAGGUCGUGGGGGGACGAGGGAUGCACGGGGUUUAGCAUCUGAAACAACCAGUCAGAAGGACCAGAAUUUACCCUCUGCGUCUAACCUUAACUCUGCAACUUCAAACGGGGAUAUAAAUCCAAAAGUUAUAUUUUCUGAUAACAAGUUGAAUAUAGAGUUGGAUGGAUUGCCAUCUGUGACAGAGACUCCCAGCCUGACCAAAGCUUGUCUAUCCAAAAACAAUAUGGAUGUUACAGCUUCCAAAAGCUGGGCAGAUAACCAGCAUGAUAAAAUUUCACGUAUUGGUGCUCGGCAAGAUUCAUUUGACAUGGCUUCUAGGGAAUCUGUUCUUGAUGGAAGAAGAGAACAGGCAGCUUCAGCUGGUCCUGGAUUCCCACUUUGUGAAGCUGCUGUAAGAGCUGAGAAAGAGGGUAGUUCUGACCAGCUGGGCAGGUGUGAAGAGACUAAAGGAGAUAGAAAAAGCUUAGUUAAUGAUGGUCAAAGUAGCAAUUCAGCAGUUGGUACAAAGAGAUUAGUUCCGGAUUCCUCUUGUGCUCGUAACAGCCUAGGUGUAGGUGUAAAUAAUGAUAAUGAUGUAUCUAUUAAUCUGAAAAAUUCUGAUCCUAACGGGAUUCCUAUGAAUAAGUCAUCAGUAGUAGAAGGGACACCAAAUUUAACCAGUGGUGAAAUAGUAAAUGAAAAGAAUGAGGUCAAGGCUAUUGACAGCCAUUCUUUUGCCAAUGACGGCAAUACUUCUAUUUAUGAAAACCACACUGGCAAUGGUUCUGUUGUCUAAGUAGAAUGUGACACUCAGAGUGCCUUACCUGAUUUACCAGAUGAGGCAAAUUGUUCUUCCAACGUGAAGGUAGUGCGACAAAAUCAAUAUAGUCGGCAGGAAACUGAUGGAAAAGGUUGUGGUUCAUUGGUAUCAUCAUGGAACACCAAGGAAAAGUUAUGCACUGGCAUUCCUGGAGGCAUGGUCAACACUGGUACUCAUGAUAUUCCCAAGGCCACUUUAACUGGAGCAAAUUCUGCUGCUGCUGACCCCAAACUUGUUUCAAGUAAUGCCUUGAAAUUAGCGGAUAAGGCUCAUGAAGAUUCUAUUUUGGAAGAGGCACGGAUUAUAGAGGUUAUUUCUUGAUUUUUCUUUCAGUUUAUGACCUUGUAUAUGUAAAACGUGGAAGGAAUUCCAUCUUCCUUUUAAAAGUUUCAACAUUCUGAUAGAACAUAGUAACAGGCUAAGCGGAAGAGAAUUGCUGAGUUAUCUGUUGGUAAUUUACCUUUGGAGAAUCAUAGAAAAUCUCACUGGGAUUUCGUCCUUGAGGAAAUGGCUUGGCUGGCAAAUGAUUUUGCACAGGUCUGGGUCAAUCAAUACACCAUUCAAUCAAAACUUUGUAAUGCAAAUCUUUUACUUCUUUAAGUAUGUUUUCCUUUCAUGUAUUUGGAAUUAAGAAUUAUAUUUUAUAUGGAAUUUACGAUAUCUUUUCUUAUAGGAGCGUCUCUGGAAAAUGACUGCUGCUGCUCAAAUAUGCCGUCGGGUCGCUUUUACUUCUCGGUCCAGAUUUGAAAGACAGAGUCAGCAUUGGAAGCUCAAAAAGGUAGCUUUUGUGCUGGCUGACGCUGUGAUGCAGUUCUGGCAUUCAGCAGAGGUGCUUCUAAAUAAUGCGGAUCCAAAUAUUCGUACAAAAGACUGUCGACAUAAGUUGGUUGGUGGAAAUGAAGCUUCUGAUAGCAAGGUUAAAAUAUUUAUAUGCUGUUAGUCAUGCUUUGAAUUUUCUUUUUCAUUUUUAAUCAUGAGAAGGCCAUGUGUUCUUUCUUGUUUUCUUUUGGUGGUUUUUAUUGGGAAUGGUUAAUAUUCGUAUCCCAUUGUUUUUUUUUUUCUUAAACCUUUUUCCCCCAUUUUUCUCUUUAACUUUAUUAUUUUUGUUCAGCCUGAUUUAGAUAUAGUUCCUGUCCAAUAAAUCAAAGCAUGUUGCAUUCUGUUGACCUCAAUUCUUUGACAUUUAAUUAAAGAUUCUGAAGGUCCUUGAGCUUUUAUAAUUUGAUUUGGACUUUUUUACUCUCCCAUAAUUUGGAUAAUAUGAUCAUCUUUCUGUUAGCUAAUAGGUUCACUUGGUCUAGGUUCUGGUUGCAUUCAUGUUUUAGGACUUUGUUGUUCACAUUUCUUUUCUUGGAAACUCAUAAUUGUCUGCUAUUUAUAGUGACUAAUCUGUUGUUAAUUUAUGUUUUGGUUACAAGCAGGAGAAAAGCAAAGUGCUCAAGCUACAUAACCCUGGGAAGAAUACUGUUCUUGAUAUUCGGGAAUAUGCAUUAAGAUUUUUGAAAUAUAACAGGACUGCUGUUCCUCAUCUCCAAGCAGAAGCACCAAAAACUCCUGAUAGGAUAUCUGAUUCUGGUAUAAUGGAUGUGUCUUGGGAUGAUCAUCUCACAGAAGUAUGCACUGUGUCUCUUUCCCAGCCAUUUGAUUCACUUUAUUUGUUAAUGUUUGCUACACUUCCUUGUCUUUCUGUUGGGAGUCAACAGAGUGAUUCAAGAUGUUAUCAGAAGAGAACUUAUUUGUAAUUGUUUAUUUUAUGUUUUGCUCAUAGAGGCAACACUCGUAUAUUACAUCCUCUGUAUUUUCCAGUAUUCAUGAUUGUGCUGCAGCAUUCAGUACUGAGUGAGUUUGUAUUUUUCAGGAAAGCCUCUUCUAUGCAGUUCCCUUGGGUGCAAUUGAAAUCUAUAGAAAAUCGAUCGAAUCUCAUGUAGUACAGUUUGAGGUAAAUAAUUUUUUUUUUCUACUUAAUUGUGGUGGAAUAUUUUUUCUCUGUGCAUGUUUUUACCAGCAUGGUAAAUUUAUGGGUAUUAGAAGAAUGGAACACUGGGAAACGAUCUCUACUGAUGAUAACAUUGCUAGAUAAACUAGGCUGACAAGCCCUUGCAUUUUUUCCCACCACUGUAGAUACUAUUUUUCUGGUCAUUCUCAUUCUCCAUUUCAGAGUUAUUAGUUUAUCCCAGUGCAUUCUCUUGCUUCCAACUGUACAUAUUCUCAAACUUGAUUGCUCAAGUACUUCAGAUAUUUCAGCUUAUUUAUUUAAUCUUUAGUUUCUCUUUUCCCAGAAAUCUGGAAGUAGCGUGCAAGAAGAGGUUGAGACCUCGAUGUAUGAUGUUGCUGCAGGUAGUCUUAAUGCUAUUUUGGUAUGAGUUUUAUGUUUGUUGACUUUUUGUGUUAUUUACUGGAUCCAUUUAACUGUAGAGUUUGGAUAUAAUGAGAGUGUAUAUGAGGAGGAUGAAGGGGAAACGAGUACUUAUUAUUUAGGUGGAGGCUUUGAUGGUAACAAAUCAUCAAAAUUCACUCAGAAGAAGCGGAAGAACUUAAUGAAAUCACACAAUGUCAGAUCCUACGAACUUGGAGCUGAUGUUCCUUAUGGCAACUACUCAAAUGGGUCUCACCAAUCUAUGCUAUUGGGAAAAAGGCCUGCAAAUAGUCUUAAUGUCGGUUACAUUCCAACAAAACGCAUACGCACUGCAUCCAGACAGAGAGUUGUUAGUACUUUUGGUGCUGGAGCUGCCGGAAGUUUACAGGUUCCUGCAAAGACAGAUGCCUCAAGUGGAGAUACUAAUUCCUUUCAGGAUGACCAGAGUACCUUGCAUGGUGGAUUUCAUAUUCAGAAAAGUAUGGAGGUUGAGUCAGCUGGGGAGUUCGAAAAACAGUUACCGUAUGAUUGUGCAGAAACAUCAGCUAAACCUAAGAAGAAAAAGAAGCCCAAGCAUCUGGUAUCCAGGACUUUUGUUUAUGUUCCAACUUGCAUUUGGGACUUGUCUAUGGCUUGUAUAUGUUUUUCUCAUACCUCCUCUGUUAAGUUGCUUGAACUCUUUUGGUUGCAGGCUUCUGCAUUUGAUCAGGGUUGGCAGCUUGAUUCAAAUGUCCAUAAUGAACAGGUUUCUACUCUUUUAUAUAGUGAGAUAGUUGUUUACCAUGAUAAUUUGUUCUAUCCCCUUCCUUCCAACCUGCCCUUUAAAUGGUUGUAUAUUUGUACUCCUAAUUUCAGCUUGAUAAUGUCUUUUCUUAUGAGAACACUGCUUGGGAGUUAUUUCUAGUGUUUGAUUAUUUUUGACUUUUCAAUGCCUUAAAAACAAGGAUAGUGCAACAAGCAAUACUGUAGCCGAGUGAAUUUUUAGAGUUGAAAAAAAUGUGUAGAGAGCGAGUGCGACAAAGAAAUGAGUGCAUUGAGAGAAUUAUAAUAAUUGGUUAAAACAUACAACAGUUGGCUGUUUCUUCACUCUGGAUGACCCAUGGCAGUUUCAAAGCAAUUCAAAAGGGGAGAAAUUUUUCUGAGAGAAUUAUAAUAAAAUAUAUAACAGUUGUCUGUUGCUUCAGUCUGGAUGAACCAUGCGGUUUGAAAGCAAUUCUAAAGAGGAGAGAUGCUUGAGUCAUAUUUUCCGGGAAAGAAGUUGGGUGGUUGAAAAGUUGAUAAGGUCUCUUAUCUGGUCAGAAUUGAUAUUAAGAGUGUUUGUGCAAGUAUGCAUGUAGUUGAUGGAUCCAUCUCGGAUGUUUCUUAGCUUUACAGGAUAAAUAUUGCUCUAUUGGUAAUCAAGUCUUUAUCCUUCUCUUGUUUUGCAGAGGGAUCAUUUGAAAAAGAGAUUGGAGAAUCAUCAUUUUGAAUCAAAUGGUACCAGUGUUAAUAAAGCCCCUUUUUGCCAAUGUUUGUUUUUAAUAAUUAGUUUGAGAGAUACAUAUUUGUUUCAUUGUUAUCCAUGACAUGUUUGAUUGUCGUUGUGUCUUUAAGGCUUGUAUGGACAGCAUAAUUUGAAGAAGCCAAAGAUAAUGAAGCAAUCACAUGAAAAUACUUUUGAUAACAUUACUCCAAUUACUGGGUCCAUUCCUUCUCCAGUAGCAUCCCAAAUGAGUAAUAUGUCCAACCCAAAUAAAAUUAUAAAAUUUAUUGCUGGCCGGGAUAAGGGCAGAAAAGCUAAAGCGCUGAAGGUAUCUUUUGCUGGUGGCCUACUUUUCUUCACUUAUUUAAAUAAAUUUAUUCUAGAAACUUCAGCCUUUAUCCUUUCUGCAGAUUUCUACUAGCCAGCCAGGCUCUGGAAGCCCGUGGUCAAUAUUUGAAGAUCAGGUAUCUUUAUCUUUUCUAUUGUCAAUGGGUUCUUUCUUUGGUGCUGUUGUAGUUAUGGCUAAGAACCUGAAGUUCUUGUUGUUAUUUUUUAGGCUCUUAUUGUUCUUGUGCAUGAUAUGGGUCCAAAUUGGGAGCUUGUAAGCGAUGCCAUAAACAGCACCAUUCAAUUUAAGGUUAGUAUAUGUGGUUGAAAUUUCUUUUCGAUACUGUCUCAUAAUUGUUGUUUUUCAGGGCGUACUUUGCGUGUCUAUAUCCGUGGAUAUUAAUUUUCGAUUUAGAACUAUCUUCUGUUGCUUUUUAGAUCUUGAAGGAUAUUUAGUCUUGUGUUUGUUUUUAGAUCUUGACGAGAUUGACUCGCGUUGCUUUUUAUAUCUUGAAAGAUGUUUGAUUAUUUGACCUCUUUUAUAUUCUUUCUCUAUGACUCUGCUCUUAUGUAUUUCCGGAAUCUAUCCAGUGUAUAUUCCGUAAACCAAAGGAGUGCAAGGAGCGUCACAAAAUUCUAAUGGAUAGGGGUGCUGGUGAUGGAGCUGAUAGCGCUGAAGAUUCAGGAUCUUCCCAGUCUUAUCCAUCUACAUUACCUGGCAUUCCAAAGGUCUUUUUUAUAGCAGUCUAUUUCUUUUUUUACUUAGCUUCUUGGUAAGACAGUAAAUGUCAUGUGUUGAUUGAGAUGCAUUCCAUAGUGAGUUAAACAUCUGUUCUCAUUGCUAUUCAAAACACUACAUGCAGGGAAGUGCCAGCAAAUUGUUUCAGCGAUUGCAAUGGCCGAUGGAAGAGGACACUCUCAAGUCACAUUUUGAGAAAAUAAUCAUGAUUGGAAAAAAGCAACAUUAUCGGAGGAGUCAGGUUUGUUCACAAUUUCGAGUAUGCUGUAGUUCUGUUUGUGGAGUUGAGAUACUGUUGCUAGUUAUAUUCCCUUUGCAGUAUUCAUAUUUUCUUUCUCUGUCUCAAUGACUAUGACAUUUGGAUAAUAUGACACCGCUUUUUUCUCUACUAAUUUCACUGGUGAUAUUUCAAUACUUUUCUUAUGGGUUUCAAGUAUACGUUGCAUAUGGUAAGUAGCCUACGGGUCCAUAUUGAAGGUUAACCACAUAGAUCCUUGUUGGUAAUUGGAAGACAUUUUAUUUUAUGAUGAAAAGGCAGGUCUGCUUAAUCUUACCAAGUCCCGAGAUGGUUAGAUUGGGUGAUGAGAGCGAUGCUGAGAGUUUGGUGAGGGUUUUGCGUUGCAAAGCUGCAAAAUUGCCAAUUAAAUAUUUGGGUUUGCUGUUGGGGGCUAACUAUAAAGAGGUGAGGAUGUGAGAUUUGGUGGUGGCUAGGUUUGAGAAGAGGUUAGCAAAUUGGAAGAGAGCUCUUCUUUCUUAGGAGGGAGACUUAUGCUCAUCAAAGCAUGUCAGACAACUAACCAAUUUAUUAUAUGUCUCUCUUGACUAUUCCGGCGAGUGUUGCAAAGAAAUUAGAAAUUACACAUUGCAAAUUCCUAUAGGACGAUUCGGAGAAAAGAAGAAGAUAUCAUUUGGUAGCCUGGGAGGAGAUUAAGAAGCCAAUAAUACUCCAGGGAGGGUUGGGGUUAAUAUCCCUAAUGGAGAUGAACAUGACCCUAUAGGGUUAAUGACUUUGAAGAUUUAAGAAAGAAGAGGGUAUGCUGUGGAUAAGGGUGAUAGAAGCAAGUUUGGAACUGAUGACAAAGGUUGGUGCACCAGAACACUGUCAAGACCGCAUGGGAAAGGAAUGUGGAAAAAAAUAUGUAUGGGGGGAACAAAUUCCAGACCUGUAUUAAAUGGAGGGUGGGCAAGGUGACAAAGUUUUUGGCAAGACCAGUGGCUAGAAAGUGGAGCCCUUACCUCAUAUUUUCGCUAUAGCACAACAAAAAGAUUGAUCAGUGACUCUUUCAGAGAAGUAGGGUGUUUUGGGGGGUGGGGGGUGGGGGGGGAGUGAGGCAAGUAAAUGUUCUAAGAAAUGUUAAUGAUUGAGAGAUUGAUGAGUAUGAGAAUCUCCUAACUAUUUUGUCUCAUAACUUUGGAUGGCAGUAACGAUCAACCUCUGUGGAGUCUUAUUACUACAAGCUUCUUUUUAAUCAGAUCGUUCAGAUCAUUCUACAAGAAUCUAAGCAGGAAUGCUCUGGUUCCAAGUUUCCUUUUAGACAAAUAUGGAAGGUCCCUUCCAGAGUGGCUUUCUUUUUGUGGGAGGUCGGAAGGGGGUUCAUUCUGACUAUUGAUAAAUUGAUGAGGAGUGGAAUGGUUAUAGUGAACGGGUGCUACUUGUGUACAAGGCAUACACAAUCUUAUAAUGAUAUUCUUUUAUGGUGUCCGGUUGUAUACAAACUAUGAGCUAUGGUUUAUGGUAAUCAGUUGGGUGAUGACAGGUUCCAUUAGAGAUGAAAUCUAGGCGUGGAAUGGUAUGAAAUAUGGCCAUUAUCCCCCUUACCAUCUUUUGAGUAAUUUGGAAGGAGAGGAAUAAAAGAGCUUUCGAGGGGGUAGAUGAUGUGGGAGAUUUUGAUAGGAUUAGAAAUAGAUGGUUCUAUAGUCUUGAAUUUUUGAUCUUGGUUUAUUCUCUAUAUUCUAUGGAGGAUUUCAAAGAUCUUAUUGAUAUUUUGGUAAAUAUGUAAGUACGGUGUAUAUGGGUUAACAUUCCCUUGGUGUCUGUUAAUAUAUUAAUUUAUAUUUUUAUUUCAGAAAAGUUGAAAGGCAGGUCUGCACCAGUUUAGAAUAAUAUCUUGUGCUGUUUGUUUAACCAUGUUAGUCAAGAGUUUCAAUUGUUUUUGUGAGACUAUAUUUUAAGUGACUGUGCCAUCUUGAAGUUGAUGCUAAUUUUGGUACAAGAAUAGUGCAUAUGCAUGUUUUUAUCUGCUGUAUAUCCACAUACUUGCAUGUAUUUGCAGCGAGAUACAUGCUUUAGAAAAAAAAUAUUCCAUGAUGGGCCAUGGGUGUCUCUGUGUAUUGCUUCUCUUGAUUAGAUUAUGAAGACAAUUUAUUUCUCCUUAUACUGAAGUUUAAACAGAUUUAUGGUAUUGUAUAUAAAGGAUUAAAGUUAAAGACUUAAAAUGGUUCUGAAAUUAUUUUUCUUCUUUGCCUUGCUGCUUAUGAGUUUCUUCCUACAAUGGUUGUCUUACUGCUUGUUCUGUCAUAGAAUGAUAACCAGGACCAGAAACAGAUAGUACCAGUGCACAACUCACAUGUAGCUGCUCUUUCUCAAGUCUGCCCAAAUAACCUGAAUGGAUCUGUCCUAACGUAAGUUUAUUGCCUAAUUUUUAUUAAUGGGGGUAUGAUAUCGCUCUCCAUCAAUUCUUAUGUGCUAUUUUGUAUUCUCUGGAUGAAGGCCACUUGAUCUUUGUGAUGCAACGGUGAGUCAAGAAGUUGUAUCUCUAGGGUUUCAAGGUUCACAUCCUGGUGGUCUUGGAAUAUCAAAUCAAGGAUCUGUAGCAUCAAUUCUUCCUACAAAUUCCUCGCUGCAGGGAUCUUCUGGUAUGGUUCUUAGUGGUAACUUGCCAUCGCCACCUGGUCCACUCAAUACCCCUGUCAGGUGUGCUAAUAGGUAGCUUGUUGUUACUAAUAGAUUUCUAGAUUAAAUAUAAGAGCAUACUUUUGCUUUUAUAUGUAUUAUCUGUGAAAUGUAUUUACGUAUAUUUUUCCUUUUUGCCUCUGUAGCUUCAUUUUUGUAUAUAUUUUAUUAAUUUUUGUCUGUAACUUGCAUGCUAUGUUGUGAUUUUUAUUCUCAGGGAUGGUAGAUACAAUGUUCCUAGGGCAUCUUUGCCAGUCGAGGAGCAGCAUAGGAUGCAGCAGUAUAACCAAAUCUUAUCUGGGAGAAACAUGCAGCAGCCAAAUUUAUCUGUUCCUGGGACUGCUUCUGGAGCUGAUCGCAGUCUCCGUAUGGCACCUGGUGGAAAUGGUAUGGGCAUGAUGUGUGGAGUGAAUAGAAGCAUGCCAAUAUCAAGGCCUAGUUUUCAGGGAGUGGCCUCAUCGACAAUGUUGACUUCUGCAAAUAUGCUUUCACUAGUAUGGCGGGAAUGCCAAGCCCUGUGAAUAUGCACUCAGGAGUUAGUUCUGGGCAAGGGAACUCCAUGCUGAGACCUCGUGAAGCUAUGCAAAUGAUACGGGUGAAUUAUAUACUUUCUGUGCUUCUUUUACCAAUUAAAUGGCUACUUUAAUUAUGCAUGAUUAUUUAUAUCAUCUUAAUUAUUUUCUUAAAGAAUAGGGGAUUCUAUCCAUCCACUACAGAGGCUUUACAUAUUAUCCAGAGAAAAGAAAAUAUCAAUAAGGUUACCUUAAUACUCUCUGCUGCUAAGAGAGUGACUACUAAUAAAAUACUCAAGGUUUGGUACUAGUGAUCUCUAAUGCUAGCAAAAGGAGAGAUAAUGCCAUAGAAAAUUCUUGUUUAUUUCUUUCAAACUGUCCAAGUGAUGGCUGUUGAUAUGAAGGAAAUAAGCUUCCUCAUAGUUUGCAAGCCUUAAUAAUUAUUAGCCACCCUCACCAAAUUAAGGAAGGAGAGCUGAAUCUCAAAACCCUCUAGCCUCUAAGCACCAAAGUAGGAGUUGGUAGGGGAUUCGCUUGCAAGCGUGUAGAGUAUCAAUUAGCAAGGAGUCUGCAUCUUCUCAAGUUAUCAAAAGAGAUAUUUUAUGCAUAUUACUUAACUUUGAAAGAAUAGAGAGUGUGGUGGGAGGGUGUUUUAGGUGCUUGUAUCGAGAUUUCUUAAUGAUUAAGAGAUUGGUGAAAAUGAGGAACUCCUUCAGAAUUUAUCUUCCAUCUUAUUGGAUGGUAGCACUGAUGUACACAGUGGUGCCUCAUAUUCAAUGGGUCUUUUACGGUCAAAUCUUUCAACAAAGAGCUGUACAAGUGCAAUGAUGAUGGUACUCGCGUUCCUGUUAGGCAGAUUCGGAAGACUAGAGUUCCUCUUUGGAUUUUUUUUUUUUGCUUGGGAGGCUAGCAGAGGAAAGGAAACAUUUUAGUUAAUGCUUGUUUCUUUUGCAAGAGUGACAAGGAGACUUGUAAGCAUGUGCUAUUGUGUUGUCUGAUGAUCUAUAAGCUAUGGGCCAUGGUUUAUGGAUUGUUGGGUAUCAGUUGGGCAGCUUCAGUGAGGGAGUAAAUUUGAGCUUGGAAGGGUGUUAAAAGCAGGGGAAAACUGAUGGACUUUAUUCCACUCUCUAUUUUUGGGUUGUUUGGAAGGAGAGGAAUCGGAGGGCUUUUGACGUGGUUGAGGAUGUUGAUGGUUUUGAUAUCUUAAAGAACAGAUGGUUCUGGACUGUUGGUUUUUUGUUACAAGAUCAUCAUUUGGUUACUUUGGAGGAUUUUGCGGAAUUGAUUGAUUUGUUAAUAGACUUGUAAAUGUUGAAAAUGGGCGGCAUCCCCUUGGUGCCUUACUAAUAUAUGUUACCAUUUAUAUUUAAAAAAAAAUAUUUGUUUUCUUAAAAUGCAUAAGCAAUUGGACUGUUGGUUUUUAUGCAAUUAGUGUUUGAGAUCCAGAUCCUUAGUUUCACUGCUGCUAUCUUUGUUGGCAUGGUAGUGGACAAUCUAUGUUUAUUCUUAAGGGUUGGACUUCAAGCGUUUCUGAGGAGGAGAAAAAUUGUAUAGGAGUUGUACGGUGUUGAGUGGAGCACAUAGAAAUGUGAAAGAGCAAUUUUGGUGAAUGAUUCGUGGACUACUUUUAGGGUUUUGAAACCUCCACGCUUACCUUGGAGUUGAAUGAAUGGCAUUUGAGGCAAUUCUUUUGUUAACUAUUGCAGAUCUUAUUUUCAGUUGAUGUGAGUGUUGUUUUCUCAUGCUGCGCAGUCUUCUCGUUGAGCUCUCUGGUUUUCUGCAUCUUAAAACUUUCUUUCCUUUUUACAACUAGUCACCUGUGCCCUGAAAGAAGGAUUCCUUUGGUUAGAGGAACCUGCUAAAAGUUAAUGUUAGAUACAUUUUUGAGUAAUAGCUUCCACUAAUCUCAAGCCCCGAAAUUUGAGCUCUGGCUUCUUUUUCUGGGUCUUCCACACCAGUUUAGCCAUGAUUCUGUGCUCUAGAAGUAUGAUUCAGACAAUUAUGUAAGCAGGGGACGGUAGUAGCUGGUUUGGUUGAAUUUCUUCUAAAAAAGGCUGAUUGGGUUGAUUGGAUUUAAACCCCAGUUCUUGCCUUGAAAUUGAACGUGGGAUUAGGAGUAGUGACUAAUUGGAAAAGGAAACUUGGUUAUUUAGAUUGAUUUAAUGCUGUAAUCUACAAUCCAAAAAAUUGUGUUACUUUAUAGUUGAUCCACGCUACAGUAGUGCAUCAGUAAUUUAAUCUUAUUAUGGCAAUUUUUAUUUGUCUUGCAGCCUGGGAGUAAUUCAGAGCAUCAAAGGCAAUUGAUAGCACAAGAUCUUCAGAUUCAGGUUACACAAGGGAACAGCCAAGUAAUUCCUGGAUUCAAUGGGAUGAGUUCUGGUUUUCCUAAUCAGACACCCUCCCCUCCUGUGCAGGCAUACUCGGGCAAUCCUCAGCAACAGCACCAGAUUUCUCCACAGCAGUCCCAUGCUCUGAGUAAUUCACAUCAUCCUCAUCUUCCAGGUCCCAAUCAUGCUACAGGAGGACAGCAACAAGCCUAUGCAAUCCGACAAAGGCAAAUGCAACAGCGUUAUAUGCAACAGCAGCAGCAGCAGCAGCAGCAGCAGCAACAGCAACAGUUUGCAGCAUCUGGUGCUUUGAUGCCACAUGUCCAACCACAACCUCAGCUUCCACUAUCAUCUCCUCUGCAAAAUAGUUCUCAAAUUCAAGCACAACCUUCCUCUCAGCCACUAUCAAUGGCGCCACUUUCAGCAUCUUCCCCAGUGACACCCAUGGCAUUGCAGCAUCAGCAGAAACAUCAGCUGCCACAUCACGGGAUGGGCCGGAAUCCUCAACUUGGUACUGGAUUGACUAAUCAAAUGUCAAAGCAACGACAACGGCAGCCACAGCAGCAGCAGUUUCAAUCUGGCAGGCAGCACCCUCAACAACGGCAGCAGGCACAGUCUCAACAGCAAGCUAAACUUUUGAAGGUUAUGGGAAGAUCGAACAUAGUGGGGCAGAACUUUUCAGUUGAUCCAGCACAUCUAAAUGGUCUUCCUAUGGUCCCAGGAAGCCAAGCNNNNNNNNNNNNNNNNNNNNNNNNNNNNNNNNNNNNNNNNNNNNNNNNNNNNNNNNNNNNNNNNNNNNNNNNNNNNNNNNNNNNNNNNNNNNNNNNNNNNNNNNNNNNNNNNNNNNNNNNNNNNNNNNNNNNNNNNNNNNNNNNNNNNNNNNNNNNNNNNNNNNNNNNNNNNNNNNNNNNNNNNNNNNNUAUUUGCAGCCGGCAUUAUAGCUCCUAACAACCAGCAUCACAGCUUCAGGGUCAGCCACACCAAAACAGGUCAAUCAAACACAAUCAGCUGCUCAGAGAAUGGUUCCACAGAACCGUCAGGGGAAUUCUGAUUCUCAAGUAAAACUCAAACUGAUCAAAUUCCAGCUGACCCGCUUGGGAAGAGCGCUUCCCAGGGGAACUCUGGUGUUACUGUAGCUGCGCCUCAGGCAUGUAUUGAUUCAGUUAACAUAAUUCCUGCAGCUUCUACAGCAAUCGGUUCUCAAUGGAAAGCUUCAGAACCUCUAUAUGAAUCUGGCAUGCCAAAUACAUCUAAAGUGGGAUCUAUUGGUGGGCCGUUGCUUACAAAUGCCACUGGGACUGAUCUAGUACCAUCUGCAAGCCAAGGGUUAGGCCAAAGGCAGCUAUCAGGUAGCUUGUCCUCUCAUGGGCAUGUGGGGGCACAGUGGCAACAGCAGUCACAGUUGCAACAAUCAUCACCAACCCAACAGCAGUAUCAACUGCAAGAACAGCAACUACCGCAGCAAGAGCAGCAACAGUCCAACCAACACCAGUUGCCGUCACAGAAGCAGUCACAUCAACAAAUGCAACAUUUGCAACCAGCAGCAGGAAGUUUGUAUAUCAGGCCCUCUAAUUCUAAGGUGGAAUGAAGCAGUCUGCUGGAUUGAGCAGCAUCCUGCUGAGAGUCGGUUCAGCAAGAAUUGGGUUUGCAUGCCCUCAUAACAGCAGUGUACAGGUAAUGUUUUAUUUUUUCACUAUAGCUAUCCAUAGUUACCUUCUGUAACAUAACAUAUUUGUUUUUGUCACUCAAUACUUUUUCUUUGAAUGUUUCCUCGUUUAUAUAUUUUUUUAUCCAUUAGCCCCAAAUUCUUGUUCGACGUUCCAUGAGUGGUUUUUUCAUCCUUGGAUUGUAAUCAAGUUGGGAACUUUGGAAAGCAUUUUUUGGUGGUGGAUGGGUGGGUGGGUACCCGUAUGGGGCGAGCGGCCAGCUCUUCACAUUGUUGAUUUAUCUCUUAACAGAGGAGAUGACUAAUCCAACCAUAAUUGCUUGCAGGUUAGAGCUGGUUACAAGACAGAAGGAUGUGGUGAUUCUUAUUUGCCGGUGGGGUCAUCAGUUUGCAAAAGAAAUGCUGGUAGACCAUUUUUUUUCCUUUUGGGGAAAGUAUGUAUAUUACCGCUGGCUAAGAAUUUUUGGGAGAAUGGAGACAGAUAUAGAGGUACCUGUACAGGAGUCUCCUCUCCCAUUUCUUGUACCUUUUUUGCCCCUUUUUUUCUCUGGUUUCCCUCUGCAGAUGGGCAGAGGGUGCCUGUUCGGUUUUGCCCCAGUAGAUUAGUGGAUGUACUAUUACCUUUCAGAUUAAGUGGGUAGUGAUCAUUGUUACAGGCAAAAGGCCUUUGAAAAUUUUGUGAAUACAAGGUUUCUUUCUGGUGUAUAAAAUGAUUAGUGGUAAAAGUGAUUGGCAUCCGACUGUGGCCUCUAAAAUACUUGUAUUAUGUAGUCUCUCAAGUGCAGCAAGCUUUAAUGGGUAUUCCAUUUCCUUUCCUGCCGUACAGCCUUUGAAAUUGAUCAUCUCAACUUUGUUGGAGUAAAUGACAGAUUGGUGUCCCAGAACAAUCUAUUAUUCAUAGGCUAAUUAGUUUUCUGGGUGUUUAUAUAUAUAUAUAUGUGUGUAUAUAUUUAGAGGAUACAGAAACUGCCGGGGACUUUGUUGAUGAUGGUAAACGGUUUGGACACUGGUGUUCUCUUCAGCAGUAACCAGGUUUAUCGUAUAAAGACCUUUUUGUCUGUGUAAUAUGUUUACCGAUAACUUGACUUUUGGGCGGAUCGACAUUCGAGCAGGUAGCCUCUGAACAUACAACAUGUUUGUACGAAUUGCUGCGCAUAAACAGUUGGACCACAGGUUGAAAAGUCUGGAGAAGUUGUUGCAUGGUUCUGUGUUUUUAUUUAAUUGAUCCAGAUCAAAACUCUACGAGAGAAGUAUCUGCACAGUCUUUUUUUGAAAAUUGAAUAAAGAAUUUCUAUUUUUAAUCUCUGAACUUCUUGUUUUGUAUAGUUUAGAUGUUAUUUAUUUACCUUUUUACGGUUUGGUGCUUAAAUUGAAAAUUAUUUUAAUUCGUAAUCUCGUUUAUAUUAAACUAUUUGAUGAAAAAUUUUAAAUUUUAUUUAUUUUACUCAUAAAUAUUAUAAUAAUUAAAUGUUAAUCUUAAUAAGAAAGGGGUAUACAAUAAUUUCUUUUAGAAUUUCGAUUCUAAUUCUAUUUUGUCACACAUUUAAUUUUUUUAAUUGUAUUUUAUUAAAAUAUUAUAUUUUAAAAUAAAUUUGUAAAAAGUUUAGGGACUAAAAAGAACAAGACUGAGUUUUUGUGUUGCUUAUAAAUUAAGAACUGAAUCAAUAAUUUGCCCUAAUUGAGAAACUACAUGAUAUCUUGGUCAUAGUUCAUGCCCUACUCGGUAAACCAUAUCAUAUCUUUGUUAUAGUUAAUCCAAUACAAUAAUUUUUUUAACACCCAUAUCUGAGUAGUUUGGAUCCCUUGUAGGCUGUGAGUCGUAAUCAUAAGAUGCUAUCAUCAGGUCUACGAUCUCUGAUUUGAACUGACCUGAUUGCAUUACACGAUCAAGCUUUAAGAAGUGUGUAUCCAGAACAUGUGUGAGUCUUAAGAUCAGAACUUAGUUAAUCCGAAAUCUUCGUCGUAUUUGUGAUCAAAUAUCUUGGUUUCAAAUUAACACUAAUAUUAAAGAUGCUUAUUAUCGAAACUUACUAAAUGCUAUUCAAAUUCAACUUCGAUCCCAUCCAUCCUUAUGUCUUGAUUGCCAUGCUGGUACAUCUGAGAAUUGUGUUAGCACUAACCUAAAAAGAGCGCUCAUUCAGUUAAAUCAUUCGGAGCAUUCUGAAGCACCAUUGUCCCGUUUUUGCCUUGUCUGAAAACGACCAACAACCAUCAAAUUGCAGAUCUUGGCCUGAAUCUCAUAGAAUCUGCGUCAAGUAUAUAAUGAAGCAACAAAGCUUACUGUUCUCAUUAUGGCGAAAUGCGUAACAUCAGAACUAGUAAGGAUCCCUCAGAAGUAAAAAACUUGAGGUUUCUGUACAUACCAUCUGGCUAUAGUAGGGAUGCAAGAGGCAUAGACAAAACACACGGAACGCAAAUUGGGAAUUGCAUUUGGCGUGAUUGUGCAUUAAGUUUUUACAAUUUCAAUAUAAUAAAUUGAACGCUGCCCCAUCAUAACAGAUAUCAGAUACCCUAGAUUUCCAUCAUUGAACAAACAAAUUUGAUAAGUUUGAUCUUUAAACUGCUUCAUUGAGUAACUAAACAUUGAACAGGGUUCGGAUAUAUCUAUAUAUAUCUCUAUGUUAGUUGCUUCCAGUUACACAUAUACAACUGCGUCAUUCGUACUCCAAAUUAUAAACAACAUUCCAAAAGAAAAAGAAAAAAGAAAGUCAUGCUUUGAAAGUUUAAACUAUCAUAAAGCAACUACCAAUGAAACCUUCACCAACUAGACUUCUUGCUCGGACUUCAGAUUUUCUGGCAAUAGCCCAAAAGCCUUUUGGAUCGUAUCAACCACUUUCCUCUGUGAAUCCAUUAUCAUUUCAAUCCGCUUAUUCUCCAUGUCCAUUCUAUACUUCUCUGUCUCCCUAAUCAUCUCCAUCUUUCUCCUCUCCACCCUCAGUACACUCUUUGCGAAACCUCGUAUCUCUGCAGCCAAUUCAAAUCCAACAUUUCUCCCUCUUCCUCUCUCCCCUUCCUCUUCCUCUUCCUCCUCAAUUCUCCGCUUCCUCAACGAGUUCUGCGCAAACCCAGAAAAGGUCUCACCAUUCCCUGCAAACCUAUUUACAAGACUAGGCCUCCUCAGUAUGUAAUUAAUACUCCUGGACUUACUGUAUCUCUUACCCUCUUCAUCAUCUUCAUCGUCAUCCUCGUAAAUUGGUUCGCUGUGAUCGCAAUCGGGCGCCUCGUUUGCAGAGAAGGGAUAUAGGGCGAGGGGGCGGGCAGCGAUAGGGGGCACAGGGCCACGGUCAAGGGAGUCCAUGAGUUGGUAGUAGUGCCAGGGGGAAGAGCGUCCAAACCGUUGCUUUUCGGCUCGGAAGCGCUUGCGGAGCUUCUCCAUCUUGUGGCGGCACUGGAUGGGGGAUUUAGCGGGGUGAUGGGAGAAUUCGUAGCCGCAGCGGGCAGCGACGGUGAGGGCAAUCUCGUCCCACUGAUUGGCUUUGAGCUGGCCGCGUUUGAGGGAGUACCAUUUCUCCUGGUAGGUUUGGAUGACGUGGAUGGUUUCCAGGUGAGUCCAGGGGACAGGCUGGGGUUUUUUGGUAGCGGCGAUUGUGGUAACUGGGGUGGGUUGAGGGNNNNNNNNNNNNNNNNNNNNNNNNNNNNNNNNNNNNNNNNNNNNNNNNNNNNNNNNNNNNNNNNNNNNNNNNNNNNNNNNNNNNNNNNNNNNNNNNNNNNNNNNNNNNNNNNNNNNNNNNNNNNNNNNNNNNNNNNNNNNNNNNNNNNNNNNNNNNNNNNNNNNACGACGGUGGGUCGUGAUGGGAGAGACUGUAAUAGACGAGGUCUCGACGGGGUGCUUAGCGUGACUAAAGGGUAAUUCUUGUCGAUGGACACGGAGCCGGAUCCAGAUACAACAGGGUUGGAUUAGACCCGGGUCCACUAACUAUUCACCCGAUUGCCCGUUGUACUUGAUUAUACCAAUCUAAUAAACAAAUAAAUUGUUAAAUUAUUUUAUUAAUAAAAUUUAUAUUGCAUUAAUUUAUAUACAUAUUUAAUAAAAAUAUCGUAUAAUAUAUAUUUUUCAAAAAAAAAAAAGAAUAGUAAAAUAUUAUUUCAUUCUUUCUCCCAAUCGGUACCAAAAUAUUUAAAGAGCAAACACCUUAAGUACAAGUUUUUAUUAUUUAUCAAAUAUGUAACAAUCUUAAAACAUUGUCAAAAGAUUUAUAAAUUCAUUUUUAGUUACUAACAAAUAUUUUAUUAACAUAUCAAAUCAAACACUACCCUAAAGUAUCUUACAAAGAUCAAUAACCCUUCUCUUCCUCCUUAUAAACCUUUUUAUUCAUUUGUCUUGGAUUGAGUCCAACAACAAUGAUUUUUCAGACUUGAAAAAAAUUAUAUUUAAAAAUUUAAUUAAGCAUAAAAUUAUAUAAAUUAAAAUUAUAAAAGUUUAAAUGAAGAAAAAUUAAAUUUUGUUGAUAUUUUUUUAAGUAAUAAAGACCUAAAUGAUAAUAAAUACAAAAAAUAAGGUCAAAAUAUAAUUUUGAAAAUGCAGGGUACCUUGGCAGGUGAGGUGUCUGGGUGGGCUAGGUCGUUCAGCCACGUGUGCGUACACGUUGCGAGAUCUGAAAAUGCAUGGCCCAAAUCUGUCUUGCAGAUUCGACAGCUCCCGGAAGCUAAUAUGAGAGCUUCAUUUUCAGCUCUUGGAGAGGGAAGAAGAACCCUAGCCGCCAGGGAAGUCCAGGCGGCAUCGGGGCCAAGAGAGAGGAGAGAGGGGAAGAGCCUUGGCCGUGUGAGGUGAAGGAGUGUGCGGCGGUCGCGAAGGUGGAAGACGAGGCGGAAGGGGAGACGUCGCGGGAAGAAGAGAUAGAGACAGAGAGAGGCGUGCGAGGGGAAAAGGAAGAGAGAGAAGAGGAGAUCGUCGGGUGGAAGAAGAAGAAAAAGAAAAAGAAGAAGAAAAAGAAGAAGAAGGAGAAGAAGGUGAAGAAGAAGAAGAGGAGAAGGGAAAAGAAAGGAGGCAUGACGGCCAUGGUGGGCAGUGUACGGCCGAGGGUUAGUGAAGUCGAGAGAGGAAGCAAAUUUGAACAACCGGCGCGAUGUACAGCGAUCCUGUGGAGGAAAGAAGUGUGCAAUGUUUGUGGUCGGGAGGAGGGGACUUUGCGUGCGGCGGUUUCGCGAAACAAAGGAAUCCGAUGUAGUGGCAAUGGUGGACACGGCGGAGGAGAGAAGAAACAACCCCAGGGAAGAAGCAAGAAGAAAAAAAAGAAAAAAAAAGAAAAAAGAAAGAAAAAAAAAGAAGAAAAAAAAAAUAAAAGAAAAAGAAAAAAAAAGAAAAAAAAAGGGGGGGAAAAAGAAGAGAUAAAAAAGAAAAACAAAAGAAGAAAAAAAAAAAAAAAAAAAAAAGAGAGAAGAAAGAGGUGGGUGUGGCUUGAUCUACUGUUGGUACGCGCGGAGGCGUGUACUAAUCACAGUGGCAUGUGCGGUAGAGCGUGACUAUUACAGUGGCAUGUGCGGUAGAGCGUGACUAUUCCGGUGACUCAUGUGGUGGUGCGUGGUAUAAUGCCCAAGUUUAAACUUAAUGUGAAUUAAAUUUAUUUAAAUGCAAUUUUUUAAUUUUUUUAAUUGUAUUUUGGAGUAAAAAUGAAAUAAAUUUGAUGGAUGAUAAAAUUGAAAAUAAUUUCAAGAAAAAUGGGUGAAAGUUUGGGUUAUUGAGGUAUUUUUGAAAAAAAAUUAAGGGUCAAAAUAUAAUUUAAAGAAAUUUUGUCACGUCGGAUGUCCGGUCAACAGGCCCGAUGAAUUAGGACACGCCGCGUGGCAGCGGACGCUGACGCGGUGCCAUAUGGGAGGCCACGCAGGUGAUCCGCGUGCUCACGAUCGAAUGGUCUAUAUCUGUUCCCACGAGCAUGAACGGUCUGGAUGCGUUCCUUCCCCAACGCGAUCAAACGGUUAGAUUUAAACACGAUCACACGGUUCAGAUUGGAUCGCGAUGAAUGACUUAGAUUAGAUCAUGAUGAACGGUUCAGAUUCAUUCCCUAUUUAAUCGCGAUCGGACGGUUAAAAUCAAAUACGAUGAACGACUCAGAUUAAAUGCGGAUGGAUAUAAAUAACCCCCACUCGCACCAAAAGAGACCGCCGCUGCGCCGGAGCUCUUUCCAACCGCCAAAAGAGGUAAAAAAAAUUUUCUUUACUCUGAAUUCAAAUUUAAACACAUCUAUGGCCAAAUCAGAGCAAAAAGACCGGCUGUUAGCCAGAAAAGAUGAGAAUUUUACAAAACGCCUCCGAUGAGACUCUUUAUGAUUCCUAUUUUGCGUAAUUUUUUCACCUUUGUGACCACCGUUUUCUUUUCUACAGGUUGACCGGAGCAAAACACCCAACCGCAAUGUGAGCUGGAGGAGUCGUCGCAUCGGAGCACCUCGCCACCGGUGAGUUUAAGUUUUUUUUGUGUUUUUUCGACCAACCGAUGUUUUUUAACGUUUUUUCUCACAAGAAUUGAUGCAGAAUCAGUCAAAAACAGCUAACCCGAGGUGGACUGUCGCCGCGGGCGGCGGCGCCGUCGUCAGAGCAUGGCGGAGCUGCCGUGCCAAAAUUUUAAAAUUGGCCCAAGUGGGCCCUGAGAUUGAUUUUGGGUUUGUUUGAGACAUUUGUAGGUACUUAUAGUGCGUUUUGAUUCCUGAAGAAAAAUUCAGAGAAUCUGGGGAUCCCCAGUGGACGCAGUCAACAGUUUAACCUUUCGGGCACCAAAUUGAGUAAGAAUCCCUAACCCUAUUCUCUGUUAUAGAAUUGAAGUCUAAUUAACAAUAAAUACAGUAUUUUAUAUAAGUUAGAAAUGUUCAGGAUUAAUUAUGGAUUAUUAAUAGAGACAGAACCGGAAACUAUUCUCUGUUGAUUGUUUUUACAGUUUUAAAUGCAUGAUAGUGCCUUUAUUGAUUUAUUUUAUAGCUUUGAAUGCAUAUAUUGUUGUUUUACAUGUUUAAGGUUAAAUUAAAAAAAAAUGAACGUUAAAAGUAAACGAAAAACUUAUGUGAUUAAGUGAUUGGAUGAAACGACAGUCUUACUGGACAUCCUGGAAAAUGGUGGACGAACCAGGUACACAAGGAACCCUAUCAUGAACGUGUUUUAUACCAGACGAGGUAUGGAGACUUGAUAAUUUGGGACUCAUAUCGGACGAGAUAUGGUGAUUACCCGCUUCACCCUCAUACCGGACCGAGUAUUGAGGUUUGGUAAUUGUGGCUCAUACCGGACGAGAUAUGAGGACGACCCGUAAUUGAGAGCGUUAAAGGAAAAGAUUCAUGCGUAGCGGGAACAUCCCUAUGAACCCCCACGGAUACCAGCAGGCUGGUGAAAAAAAGGGCAAUUAUUGUUUGAUGAUUUGAAUAUGAAAGUAUAAUAUGUGUUAUGUUGACAAUUAUAGAUGGAAUCAUGAUAUAUAUAAUGUUAUUAUUUUCUCAAGGUUGUUUUCUAUAAAUCUCACUAUAGUAAGUAGACGGUAAAUAAUUUUAUUAUUGAUAAAUGAAUUUGCUUAAUUUAGUGCUCCAUUAGUUAUUUUUAUGAUUUCUGCCAAUUUUAAUUUCUGUGUUGGUGAUAUAGUGUGAUCUUCUUACUAGGUUAGUGUAGUUCAUCCCUUAUUUAACAAUUUCAUAUCAAGAGGAACAUGAUCCAGAGCCCGAUCCGUAAAAGGGUUGCGAGUAGAAUACUAGUUUUUUUUUUAUUUUCCGUUCAUUUUCUUAUUUCAUUGCAUUCCUUUCAAAAUGGUGAAUUCCGGAACACUAAUUAGUACUUUAAGUUAUUGUGUAAGGAAUAUAAACCUUAAAUAUUUAUUUUGCUUUCGCACUUUAAUUAUUAUUUAUUUCUUUUGAAUAUUUUCAGAGAUCUCGGAUUCAAAGGUAAAAUCGUUGCCCUUUUGUUUCGUAGCAUUUCGAUUAUUACUCAUUUUUAAUGACAUGCAUAUUCCGGUUGUGAACCAAAAAAACAUUGGAGUGGUAGUCGGGAGGUGGAGAGAAUCGUAACCCGAUACCAUUUUGGGUUACCGCGUUGAUGACCGUGGGGUUCAUGCCAGCCAACUACUUCCUAGAGCGAAGUGGGUUGCGUCUCUUUCGGGAAUCCCGAACUCGUUGAAGGCCAAUUCCGAAAAAUUUAUAUAUUCAUGUUAAUUCAUUAAGUUAGAUUUUGGAUUGAUUUUAGGUAAAUUGAGUAAUUAGACUUAGAAAUCUAGGUGAGUUAUUAGUAAUUAUAAAGUUAUUUCGGUAAAAAGAAAGAUAUCUAAUAAUCGAUAUAUAGCUUCACAUAGGCCAUGGGAUUGGGGAGAGCGUAAAGGAGCGUAAAUCGAUGUCUUAGUUGUCCGAGAAGGUAAGUAUAUCUAGUAGCUAUCCCGAAACCACAUUUGUAUAUUUUCAAAAAUGUUUUCAAAUAAAAACCUAAUUAAGUUUUGAGUAAAGUUUAUAAAAUUAAGGAAUCAGGUAAGUGAAAGACAUUGAAAAAUAGUGAUACUGUAUAUUUUAAUUUGUCAUUUGCUUGUUGCUUGAUUUUUGAAUGAAGAUUGCAUGUUUUAAAUACUGUAUGAUUGAUGAUUGAUGGUAUGAUGAGUUGCAUAGUUUGAGUAGAAAAUUAAUAAUAGUGCAAAUUCACCAAUAAGAUCAUGAACACAUAAAAUAACUUUCACAAAUAAAAUAAGAUCAACAAAAAAAAAUACAUAUUCUUAAAUUAAAUUAGAGAUUUUAAAUAAAACUAAUAAAACUAAAAAUUAAAAAUAGUAAAAACAUUAGAACAUGAAUAAUAAACAAAAUGAUAACUAAAUAACUUACAAUAAACAGGAAAGUGUAUAAUUAAGGAGAGUUAGUAAGUACUAUAAGGAUGGAAAAGAGACCAAUUGAGAGAAUUAAAAUAGUGUGAGAUAUAGAGUAAGGUUAAUUAAAAAAGUGUACAAAGUCUUUAAAAAAUAUAAUUAGUUUGUUAGAAAAAAUAAAUAAAUAAUAUCAAUCUUAGUUAUAAUAGGAAGAAAAACAAAACAAAACAAAAACUUAGAAGAAACAAAAAUUUAGAGAUAACCUAUUUAAGAUUGAUAUGACUGAAAUUUAGCGGUGUGGUGAAUUCUAGUUCUUGGGUGGAUGGAAACCCUUCCAGACGUGGUUGGGGGGUCAUCUGGCGAGGGACUGCUGUGACCAUUGUAUGUGUUUUGGUUGUGUGUGCAUCCCCUUGUGAUAGUGGAAAUCCUGAUAUCACAAUGGUACCAAUUAGAUAACGGAUAUACCCAUUCAAUCUUAAAGAAAAAUCUAAAACUUUAAUAACUUUAAUUUGAUGAUUUAUAUUGAGAAAAAUUGAGAAUCGGGGAUACCCGCUGAGGGGUUACAGAUAUCUCGAUUUGGCCAAAAAUUUGUAAGAAAUUCUAAUAUGUGAAUAUAUGAGAUAAGUAUGGAUUAUAGAGAAACUGAUAGAUGAGUAUGGUUUUGAAACUAGAUAUGAUGUGAUAAUAGUGUAUGAUAUGAGUAGUUACAAUUAGAGAAUUAAGAACGAAAAGAAAUUAACGAGAUAAUGAGGAAAUAAUAAGAAAGAGAAAUUUUAAGAGAUAACUAGUAAAGGAGAAUAGCGAGGGAAAAAAAGUAGAUAAAAAGGAAGUUAUGGGAAAUAAUGAGAGAUGAGAUAGGAAAUGAAAUAUCUCUGCAUUUUAUGGUUUUCAAAUAUAAAGGGAAAGAAAAGUUUUACAUUUCUGACUGAUUGUAUAUAGGAAUGUCGCAUGCGUAAAGUGUAGUUUAUUCGAUAUACUUAUUGAGUCAGUUGUUUUACUCAUUCCAUUCAAAUUCUAAUUUUUUUCAAAUAAAAUCAAUGAAAAUAAUUUAUAGAGCCAAAACUGAAAUUUCAUGUUUAGUUUUCAUAUGAUGAGUUUUAAUCCAAUUGUGAACUCUACAAUUUUCGGUAAUCUUGUGAUGUAAAUUAUGUUACAUGUUGUAUAAGGAAUAAAUAGCUUUUGUUGUACUUUUUUUGAAAUUUUAUGUCAUAUCUUCCGGUUUAGUUGUAUUUGACAGCGUGGUUUCUCGUUGGAGAAUUGCGGGCCAUCACAUUGAGAGUUUUCAGGGAAUCAUAUCAAUUACCAAACAGACAAGAAUUUAGAGUAUCUGUGAAGCUCUUAGUUAUAUCAAUCAUCAAAUACAAAUACCUUGUGUUGAAAAUAAUCUUAAUGUCAUUCAGGUUCUAAUGUCUGUUUCAUUCCUGAGAAUAUAUAUAGUCACAAAAAUAUGUACAGAGUUUUGUUAUCCACUUGUCUCCCAGGUUAUGCACUUCAAAGCAGAGGAGUUUCCAACGCACUUCAGCCAUCAAAACAAAAUGAAGCACCAUAGCCUCUGCUCUUUGCUAUAUGCAAUGGCAUCAUAACUACAAGUGAGGAAAUAUGUAUUGACCUGUGUAUUGAGCUGUGAAAGAGUCUGGAAAAACCAAGAAAAUAGAAAACUAUAUAUUAUCUAUGUAUAAAAACUCGAAGAUCACUUUAACUGCAAUGCCUAUCAGAAAGAGAUGAGAUCAAUGAUAAACAGCUCUCUUCUCUUUGCUGGCGGAAAACCACCAAUCUGGGAACCUGAGAAUCAAAUACACAUUAGAUGAGUCACCUACAAUGAGAAAACAGGAGGGAGAGCAAUCUUGCAUAAAUUAACUUGAAGAGGUAGGUCACCUAGAAUGAGACCUGCACUGUGUCUCCCCACUAAAAAAGCCUACAGAAUCGUUGAUGGUCAAAGAGUUAAUGUGGACAAACAACUUCGGUGGACUUUAAUACUUCAGAGCAACAGUGCUCAUCUUUCUGGAGGAAAAUACUUGCAAUUUCUUGGCCAGCAAGAGGGUGUUAUCCCCUGCAAAAAUGAAAAUCAUAAGAUCAUCAGAUUGCGUUGUUUAAUAAUGAAUACCAAAUACUUCAAUUUAUAAGAAAGGAACAUGCUAUUUAAAAGAAAAAGAUCAGAACAAGUCAUAGAAAUCAUCAAUGUCAAUUGUCCUGUAAACUGUUGCCCCAACAGAAUAAUGCUAUCAUAGUACUUUCUACAGUUCAUAUAAAAGUCCUAACAAAAACAGACUCGUGCUUACCCAAUAUCUAAAUUGUCCACAGGUGUAUGUAGAUGCAGAAACUUUUCACUAACAAGCACCAUCACUAAUAUAGCAGGGGGGAAAAACAAUAUUUGUUGAGUUAACAAAAUGGCACUGUCACUGGUGCUUAGCUAGGCAAACCAUUUCUCAAAAGCCAGAAUGAUUUUUAGGGGAAAAAAAAGCUGACUUUAUUGCACAACCUUCACCAACACCAGAGAAUUUUGAAAUAAAAUUGAGCUACUCAAAAACUUAAAAAACUCAAAUGCUACCCCUUUCACCUCUCGCUACCUGUCCUGGCUAUUUAGUUCAUUGAAAAUUUGAGCCCCAACUCUUGCAACUACCUCUACCUCUAAUCUGAUUAAAGAUUUUAAGGCUAUGUUUGGAAUAAAUCCACAAUAUGUACAUAAUUCAUUUUACAAAUUUACACUUAUUUAACUAAAAUAUGAUGAAAGUUUUACUUAAAAUAGUAAAUGCUGAGCUCAUUCGGAAUUCUAUAUAGAAUUGGAACAACGUAAUCCAUUCCAUCAGUUUUUAUGGAAUUUGGAAUUUAUGUUUUCAGGUCUAUAAAAAUUCCAUAUGGACUUAAUUUUUAUUAUUCUAGAUAGAAGUUAUGCUCAUUAAAAUAAAUAUUGAUUCACAAAUGAAUUCCACAAGGUCUGAAUUUGUUCUAACUAUAGCACAAGACUUCUAACAACCUUCUCAGUAAUGUGCAUAUCCAUAUAACUUUUCUUCAUCUUGCCAGGACUUUAAUGUCCUGCAAUGGCAAAGGAAAGAUGAAUUUGAUGCAUCCUAACAAGAAAUUGACUUGCUAAGAAAAAUGGAUAGGGAGGUUUUGGAGAUAUCUCUAAAAAGGAAAUUUCUUCCUUUUUUCUCGGCAGUUUAGGCAACGCUAAUACAAUGUGCUUUGAGAAUAUUAAAAGUUGAACUCACAUAAUAUGAAAAAAAUAUCUCCCAGAGGCAGAGACAUGAAUUACAUCUUCCAGUGUUUAGGUUUUUCUUGGUAUACACCCUUUAUUUGGCUAGAAACAUGAAUUCAACCAGAGUUCCCAUUUCCUGGCCGUACCCACAUGGCUUUUACUGCUUGCCAUUUGACUUGGAUUUGAAGAAAAUAAAGGACACCACAUUUCAAACAUAUUUGGCAUGUCUGACAAUUGACAACCCAUAUGAAUGUAAAUAUGAAUACAAGUAAUUAUUUCAUACACAAGGAUAGAAGAACUUACAGUUGAGCUAUCCUCUUUUAGAUUUUCCAACGACUCAGCAAGCUGCAUUUGUUUUGAUGCAGUAGCAAGCAGUGCCUUUGAAGAAUUAAAGUCAAGGUUCAAUAACCACCUUGAGAAAAAAAUUACAGAACAGUCAUGGUUGGAGAAAAAGAGAUUAUACCUUCUUCGUCCUCUGUAAAUCUAGUUCUAUAGAUUUAAUGCGACUCAGUGAUUCCUGAAGCAUGUCAUCUUUCUCUGGAGGAAUUUUCGUAGGUUUAUUGAACAGUUCGGUUACUAACGUUUCUAAAUGUUGCAGCCUCUGGCAACAUGGAUGGAGUGAAGCCUCUUCCACUACAGGUGAAAUACGUUCCAACUGGGGUCUCAACUGGUUCUCUAAUCGUUUUUGCGAAGGUUGCACUAGAAACAAUCUCUUCAACAUUUGGAGUAGGAGAUAUAUACACGCUAACAAUUUGAGAAUGAAGGAAACCACUAAACUUGUUACAUGAUGAAUAGAAUUCUUCAGCUGCCGUUUUGGGAGAACAUUAUUGGCUAAAUUAUCUGUCAGGAGGCACCAAAUUAGUUACAGCCUAAAAUAUUGAUCAGAAACAAGUUAAACUGUCACUUUAGCACUGAAGAGAAAAAAAAGAUCAGCAAGAUCCUUUUUGCAGAGUGAAGCAACUAUCCAGUAACUUCAGCAGAUUAAUUAAGGACUAUUAUUUUGGAACAUCUCCAUAUAGUUCACUUUGGAAAAAGUGAAUAUACUAUUAUGAUUAAAUCACCAAAGUAAAAAAGAAAGGCCUAUCAAUUUACAAAAUGCCAAAAAAAAAAAUAGAAAUUAAGGUUAGAAGUGUUCAGGUGUUAUAUCACAUGACAAGCAAGCAAUGUAAAACAUUAUUCGCUUAAAUGCUUCUGAAUCCACAUCUGGCCUACGUGCAUGCUCAUGUAGUUUGUCCAAAUUAACUAAUACGUUAUUUUCUACGAAACAUAAACACCAAUCUUAGGUUAAGAUAGGAAUAAUGGAUGUUGCACAAAUUAGUUUGUAAGUAAGUAAUCUGAAAAACACCAUCAUGACACAGGUUUGCAAAGCACUGCAAUUUUGAGGUGCACAAUUGCUUAUGCAUCACCUACUUGUUAAAUUACAAUCUUCAAUUCUUGCAACAUUAGCUGCUUCUACAAAGUUGCAGACUGAAGCUGCAUCAUUCGUCUUUCCCUGAGGCAUGACAAGUAACAAUUAAUUUUUUAUGUUUCUAAAAAUAUUUUAGAAAGCAGUAAAGAGAAAAAAUCCAAAAGAAUUAGUAGUAGUAAAGUUAACAUAUAACAAUAGUAUCAUUCACUAUAAUUGUUUAAAAUCCAAAAUAAAACUAUGAUUGGUCCAUUAACAUCCUUUUGGAAAAAAAAAAAAAGGAGAAUUAGUAACAAAAUUGUAGCAAUCGACCUUAAGACCCAGGCUUUGUUUCCCUUAACUUAGAUGUCUAUCAGAACUUACAACAUUGUCGCAUUUGUAAUCAGUUGUUUCGUUCACUUCUUAGCUUGCAAACACCCCAAAAAAAUCGGACAUUUUGUAUUUUUUAUGUUUCUAAAAAUAUUUUAGAAAGCAGUAAAGAGAAAAAAUCCAAAAGAAUUAGUAGUAGUAAAGUUAACAUAUAACAAUAGUAUCAUUCACUAUAAUUGUUUAAAAUCCAAAAUAAAACUAUGAUUGAUCCAUUAACAUCCUUUUGGAAAAAAAAAAAGGAGAAUUAGUAACAAAAUUGUAGCAAUCGACCUUAAGACCCAGGCUUUGUUUCCCUUAACUUAGAUGUCUAUCAGAACUUACAACAUUGUUGCAUUUGUAAUCAGUUGUUUCGUUCACUUCUUAGCUUGCAAGCACCCCAAAAAAAUCGGACAUUUUGUUACUAAGUGAGGACUCAAUCAAAUGCAGUCCAGCAGUUGCUUUCAUUAGUAAUGUCAUAAGUUCUAAAAAACAGAAUGGAACUUUAUCAUAGACCAAGAUUCCCAUUCACUACUCAGUUCUAGAAUAUUUGUUUUGCAACUGUUCAACGUGCCAAUUGACUUUUUAGUUUCCACUAUGAUACAAUUUUCUCAAACCCCUGAAAAUGGCACAAAAUCAUAGAUUACAACAAACAAAAUCAUUGCCAAAUUACUGAUAUUCAUAUAAAUGAGGUUAUUUCUUUUUUUCUUAACCUAUUCUUUAUAAAACUUCUGUUUAUUGGAUGAACCAAAUAACAGAAUUAAAGCCUCUGCUAUGGUGGGGUAAAAUGUCACCCCCCUCUCCAAAAUUUUGUUUCUGACUAUCUAACUGGCAUCAAUGUGCUUAAUGUGUGUAUAUCAAGACCUCCCGUGCCAAAAGACCAAGAAAUCCCAAUCUGGGGAAAGAAAAGGCCCUUUCAAACUAACAACAUUUAGUGGUUUCUUUGAUCUUAAUUUUUUUAGUGUUAGCAAAUAAUUACGUUUUAAAGAAUCAAUUGAUGAGAAAUAAGCUUCCUGGAUCAUGGGAUAGAUAGAGAGGAAAAAACUACAAAUUUUUCGUGACUUUUGCUUCAAGUUGGAAGAUUUUGGUGGGAACUGGCUGGGAUAAAAUCAUUAAAAGGUUAAAGAUACAACGGACAAGGGAAACAAAACUAACUAAAUUCUUGCAUAAAUUACCCCGUCAGAAAGUACUACUGUUUGCAUCGAGCCUGAAGCAUUUGAAGUGGCAUCUGUUCCUGAAUCAACUAAAGAUAUUUCACUACCUUUAACCUGUAAAAGGAAUCAAACUGCUGUAACAUGCAGUGCAUAGCUAGAGGAUGAUCAAAGAUGGAAGAAGGUUGGUUAACAAACAAAAUCACCUUAGUUGAAAAUAAUUUUACUCCAAAAUCAUCAUAAUCAGAUGAACUUAUAAUUUUCCUCGAGUAGAGUGCAUCUCCAGAGUGAACCAGCUGCAACAGGAAAUUGGCAAUCAUAUAAUAUUUGAGAUAUGGGAAUCUUAGAUAUAUGAAGGCAUUAGCUGUAAGAUACAAAUUAUUACAAUAAAAAGGAAUCAAUAUUGCUACAUAAGAAAAAAUAUCAACAAAGAAAAUGAUGGACAUUUUGCUCAGUGCCAAACAACUGGAAUCAAUUACUGACUAUGAUCAUACUUUCAUGAUAUCUAAGUCACUCCAGGGCCCCUUGUUUGAUCUCAUACAUCCACCUUCAUUCGAGCAAGAACACGUCCCACCAAGAAAAUAUGGCAAUUGGCUGUUUAAGAAGAAACUAAUAAAAUUUAGAAAGAUAACUAAACUAAUUUAGCACUACAGUAAUAAUAAAAAAGAGAUUCUAACCUUGCGUCUAUAACCUCCAACAAUUUAUUAUGAAAAGCAGUACCUAGUACCUAUACAGAUAGCCAAGACAAACAAUUUCUUAUCAGCUCAGACACCUUCAAUGGUAAAAAAAAGGAAAUUAUCAAUAUCUUUGUACAUGUAUCUUUGAAGUAGUCUUGGGAUCAAGAAAGCCUUUGGCUGUGUUCCAAAGCAGUUUGAAUCCAUUGCCAGCAUUAACAAUGUACAUUUGAUGCAAUGUCUGUUUAAUAUAAGGUAGUGUUAGUAACAUCACUAAGCAUGGCAACCAAUAACUUGGAUCACUUUUUCUUUAUUUUAGCAUACUAAUUAAGCCACCUCAGGGUAGUUGUCACCAUCAAUUUUCUGCAUGCGCAUUACAAGAUCAUGGGCAACCUUGCCAAAGCUCAUCCAGUUCUGCAUAAUCAAGAGAAAAUAAGAAAUACUGUGUGCAAAUCAUGUAAUAUGCAGAACUUGAAAGAUACUGACAAUUCCCUGCACAUCCAGUAUAGUUGUUGUAGAAUCUAUGUGCCUCUUGGCUGCAAUUGAACAUGCUGGAAAUUUCUCAGCAAAAGCCUUCUCAAACCCUUGAACAUGAUAUCUUAAGAACCGGUCCACUGUGGUAACACUCAUUAGCUUGCUGGGGUCAAUUUUACCAAUCCGUUCAAUAUAAACAGGUCGACCAUCUUUGUCUACGCCAUGGUAACCAUGAGGAUAGCAAAACUGAACCUCUUCAUACUCAUCAUAUACAAAAUCCUGAGCCAUGAGUCAUAAGAUGCUGGUGAUAUAUUAAAGUAAAUGACUACCAAAGACAGAAAAUUGAAAAAGAAAAAAGGGUUUCCAUGGAUCAGCAAUGGUUUCAUAACGUGACAGAAAUUCUANNNNNNNNNNNNNNNNNNNNNNNNNNNNNNNNNNNNNNNNNNNNNNNNNNNNNNNNNNNNNNNNNNNNNNNNNNNNNNNNNNNNNNNNNNNNNNNNNNNNNNNNNNNNNNNNNNNNNNNNNNNNNNNNNNNNNNNNNNNNNNNNNNNNNNNNNNNNNNNNNNNNNNNNNNNNNNNNNNNNNNNNNNNNNNNNNNNNNNNNNNNNNNNNNNNNNNNNNNNNNNNNNNNNNNNNNNNNNNNNNNNNNNNNNNNNNNNNNNNNNNNNNNNNNNNNNNNNNNNNNNNNNNNNNNNNNNNNNNNNNNNNNNNNNNNNNNNNNNNNNNNNNNNNNNNNNNNNNNNNNNNNNNNNNNNNNNNNNNNNNNNNNNNNNNNNNNNNNNNNNNNNNNNNNNNNNNNNNNNNNNNNNNNNNNNNNNNNNNNNNNNNNNNNNNNNNNNNNNNNNNNNNNNNNUCCAACCUGCAGUUCUUUGACUCAAUGCUGUUGUGAGUCCUAUAAAGUAUUGAGCUAGAAAUCCACAUUAAAAAUCCAAAAAAAUAGCAACUAUCGUAGAUAAACUUGUGAACAACUUUGACAUUGUAAAAAAACAACUAAUGUACCAAUUUAUGUUUGCGAAUAGAGAGAUCAAUCAACUGUAUCAGUGAAACAAACAUUCAAGCUGUUUCCAGCACCAAGCUGGGUUCAGAUAAUUAUUAGGUGACAUUGUAGCAGCCUAGAAAAUACUGAUUUUCUCUCUACAUACUUGAAUUUCCUUUAAAACAAACUCAAUAAUUUAUCAGCUUCUCAUGUCUUCCAAGUUCAUUUACAGUCAUAACUUAUAGGAGCUCUCAUGCAUACCGAUCCUCGUGUAGCUUAUGGAAAAAAUUAAUGAGGAGAAUGCUAUGCAAAUGGAUGAUCACUUGAUCCCCUUACUUCAGGUUAAUCAAACACGAAUAUACCAUAGACAUUGAUCAAAUUGUGCACACAUAUACAAAUGUAUUAAUAUGAUAACAUAUACCAUUACCUCAACAUAGUGUGGUAAUCAUCAUGACGAGCCAGAAGAAAAUCUUUGGCAAUCAAUGCUUGUCGAAAGGCAUUUACAGCUUUCUCCUCCUCUGUGUCCCUGACGUCUUCAAUAGAAAUCCCUGCAUAUCGGCAAUCAGCGACUCGGUUUGUGCGUUUUUUAAGACUAUGCGUUAGUUUUGUUGAAGCAUUCGCUGCUCUUCUCCUUAAAGAUCUGGCUCGAGUUCUUCGCUUUUCGUCCUCUGAUGUAUUGAUAUCGAACAAUUUACCCCUCUCAUUUUCUUCAAUCGAAACUAUUUCUCCUAAAAUUAAAAACCCAUGAACUCAAUUGCAAUUUGAUCGCGGACUUCAAUCUAGAUUUUGGUAAAACUAAUGCGCCAAAUUACCUGGCAUUGGGUGCAAUCGGUGCGAAAUUCGUAUUGAACCUUUAUCUGCAUUAAUAAGAUAAAUGAAGAAAACUAUGAAAUCUUCGAAACAGUUCAAAAGAUAAACGAAGAUCCUGGUGAUCCGCAAGAUUACCAGAUGAAACUCGUUGAUAUCGGUAUAGCAAAGAAACAGAAAUAAAGGCGAUCUUUGACGUUAUUAUUAUUCAAAGCCGAUUAAAUGAGCACGAAAUCGAACACAAACAGAUCCAAGAAGAAUAUAAAUUCGAGGAAACGUUUGAUCAAUUCAAGAAAAUUCAAUGACGAUAUUAACACAUCGGUAGGAAAAAAUAUUAAACGAAUCUAAAUACCUUGAACGAAACCGCAAUCGCACGAUUUAAUUUUGUGUUGGUAGAUAUAUGUGUGUUUGUGUGUAUAUAUAGGUUACAUGGAUAUUUCAAUCAACAAAAAAAAAAAAAAGAAAAAGAAAAGCUUACAGGGAUACGAGGCAGGCUUUCUCUCUCAUCACACAGAAGGUUGCUUUCGAGUUACGAACCUCAUCUCUCUCUGUCUCUGUCUCUCCUCAGGUAAAAACUUUUUCUCUCUCUGAAAUGAUAAUAGUAAGGAAAUACGUCUUAGUGUAUUAUAUGUAGUUAGCUGCGGAACGCACCGCAGCUGGGUAGCUUUCGGUUAGGGAGAAGAUGAUCGUUUUGAAAGAGGCAUUUGUAAGAGAGGGAGCGUGAAACGGCCGCUCUGUUCUGCUUCCGUCAGGCAGAGUGUAAGUAAAAGUCAAGGGAGAGUCCGUAACUGAAUGUUUGCCGUUUGUUGACGGAGUUUGCGAAGCGAAAGGUAGUAUUUCUUUUCUUUUUUCUUUUUUUUAUUGAUUAGAAAAUAUAUAAAAAGUUUUAGGCAGAUGCUGUAAACCGGCUGUUUAUUAUGGGCGCAUGAAAUUAAAUAAUAUUAUAAUAAUCUUUUUAAGAGGGGUGGUUUGUAAUUUGAAGAGAAUUGGUUGACACGUCUGGACCCACUUGCAGUUUUCCAGGUGGGCCCGGUCGGUGAGUCAGAUGUACGGAGGUAUUCAUGAUUACACGUGGCACCAUAAGAUGCCCAAUUGUUUUCUUCUAUUGCAAAUACACUGCUCGGCAACAUUUGGUUAAAUACAUAUAUACAUAUAUAUACGUGCGUAUACAUCUUUAUACAGGAAGGCAAACAUCCUGGGUUGUUAUAGUAUAAGAUUUUUGUGCCUCUAGGAAAAAAAGGAAAUAUUUAAUGUCAUGUGAUAAGUUGAUUAAAAUAUUUAAGUAAAUACAACAUUAAAAAGUAUAUAUUGAGUUAAAGUAUUGUUGUAAUUUUUUUUUUUCGAUAACAUGUGAGAAAAAUAAGUUUAUUGUUAUGGGAUUUAAAAAAAUAAAAAUGAUUUGAGUUAUAUAUAAAUAUGUAAGUUGUGGUUUAUUUUUACUUAUUAGGCACCUAAGAUGGUAAUAAUUAAAUAGAAAAAAGUAUGUACAAAAGAAGUUCGUGUACAUUUUAAAUUUUGGUGGAGGAUUAAAAGCCACAUAAUUCAUCAUAAUUAGUUAAAUUAAAAAAGACUAGUAAUAACUGUAUCUCAGGUUAAAAAAAUAAGGGUACAUUUGUAGCUUAUCAUUUAAAAAAUGGUUAAUUUAUAAAAUUAAGAAACAUUAAAAUAAAUAGAGAGUGGGGCACAGACGCCGGCUUUGGGGAUUGGAGAAGUGCUUUGACAAAUUACUUUCGGUCAACUCCUCCAUUCACGCAGUGACAUGUCCGGAUUCAGUCACAAACAGUAGAAACGGCGCGGCUUUCAUGCUUGGAAAACACCGUCUUCCGCCGUCAACCGGCGCUACCUCCCCAAUAAUAUAUUCAUUUCAUUCUUUUACAUGCUUAAUUAAAUAGUACAGAACUAUACCGCCAUUCAUUGAGCAUUAUUUUUGUUGAAAUAAUGAUGAUUCAUUUUUAAAACGCCUUUUGUUUUUUGUUUUUUUUUUUUCCCUCUGUUAAUCAAUCAAUCCACCAGUACUGUAAAACGAGAAUAUUUCUUUUUUUUUUUUUUUUGUUGUUACAGUAAUGAUUGUCAGAGAACAAAAGUUCCUUUUGUUUAUGGCCUUGGGAAGAAAAAGGUGGUGUUGACAAUUCAAAACCAUUUAUUCCAUCCAAACGCUGUGUAAAUUGUAAAGAUUGUGAGUAACACAUGCUUUCAGACGGUGGGCACGUGUCGUCUGAACUGGAUUUGACUGUCAUGGAAUCAUUGUUCCUCUUUGAUUAUUCAAAUUUCGGACUAGUCAUUCUUUUCUUGGUAUGCUUUUGCAUCUAAAUUCACUGAUCAUAAACAAUUACAACGACAAUUCUAUUUAUCACAAUCAAUCAUCAUUUAAUUUUAAAUUACAAUCUAACAAGAUUUACCCUUUUCGAGUAACUGUCCCCUUUCUUUUUUUUUUUUAUGGGCAAACUGGCAGAAAUGGAGGCAGGUAAGAAAGACUGUCAAACUGGAAAGAUAGAGAGGAAAAAGAACUCAAAGAUAGAGUCGUCGUGUUCUUCAUUCAAACUGUGGGUAAUGAUUAUUCUAAUAACAAAACGAUCAUUAUAUCUUUACCACUUAUUCUUCUUUGGAGAAUCAUUACAUGUAUAUUAUAUGUAUGUGUUUGUGUGGAAAAGAAAAGAGAAGAAAAUGAUGACAGCAAGUUGCUGUGGAAUUUCAUUUAGACCCAAAUGAAGUUGCAAAACCAACACCAAACAAAAGCCGAACCUGAAGGCACUAUAAAGAUUAUUCUUGUCGUUACUCACAUGGCCUGUAUGCUUUCAAUUGCUUCCCCUGAUAUGCUCUGGGACCUGCUUCUACUCAAGCUUACCUGAAAUGCAACGCAUCAUCAUCAUCAUCAUCAUCAUCAGCAGCAGCAGCAGCAGCAAUGGCUAGCCAGUAAGCAUCAGCCAUGGCAAUUUGGACAGUGGUCAAUAAUAACACAAGACUAACACAUUGUGGCAGUGAUCGUGAUUCUUGCAUCUUACAGAGUGUAACACAGAGAUGGAUCUUGCUAUGGGAUUCAGUUUCAUUUUACAUACAUGUAAAAUAGCAUUCAUUAUACCUUCAGCACGGCAUAAUCUAAAACCAAUCAAGUUGCCAAAUAUAUUCAGAUAGUGGUAAAAUCUAUGAUGCCUCAGGAUAAUCUUCUAAGGUUUCAUAGUCAUUUACCUAGAAAGUUAGUAAACUUAUAUAUCACACAACAUUAAGUAAUUACUAACUCACUAUGAAAUGUUAAACUUACUGAGAAAUGUGCUAUCUCUGAUGCACCACAGUAACAUCCCCAACAUGCAUACCUCCUCAUUUGAGGACUAUGUUAGGAAUUGCAGGAACCUAGUUUGACCACUUUCUGAGUGUUUUCAAGACACAUGGCAUUAGCAGAAACAAGAAAACAAGCCAAAAUAAAACAUUCAUAUUUCAGCAUUUUACAGUCUAUUGUUCAAUUCAUGCUCUGUUCAUUGGUUAGAUUAUUCUUGAUAAUAUCCAAUUGAAUUUUAAGUUUUAUAUCUGAAUGAAUUUCACUUCUACUCCUAGCCUGAUUUCCUUAGAGAAUAGAUUUCUAUCUCAUUCCUUAUCAAGAACAAACUAGAAAUCAUCUCCAAACAAUUACUCACCAAGUAAGAAUCAGAAAUUAUCUCCACAUAAUACAAAGUACGAACUAAAAUGAUUCAUGACAAAAGUUAUAACCAAAAUUUACAUGUCACGGAUAUACUCUCAACUGAUUUAUUGGCAAGUUCAUUCUUUCUUCAUCGACAAAACAAUUCCCUCAGUUCCAAUCAAACCACUCCUCUACAUAGAUAUGUUGACUGGUCUUCAUUGUACAUGAGAAAGCAAUUUGUCAAUCUCCAUAUCAAUUUCCUUUCUCUAGUCCAUAAACCAUCUCCAACUCCAGAAAAUCUGUUCAAUUUUAAACUUUCUCCCUCUCUGUCAUUCAUUCACUUAAUGUCUCAAACUGAAAGGAAAUAGGAAAUCCAAAGCAUCUCAUUUCCAGUGCUCAUAAUAUAAAUAAACAGAUAAUAUUUACAAACUACAACUAACUAUAUUGACUAGCAGUCCAUUAGUUUCAUAUUCUAGGCAUUUUCUAGGAACUUCAAGGAAAGAAAAACAAUAGGGAUUGGGGGGACAGGAUGGCAGAGAAUUAUAAUAUGGUCAGUGACCAAGAAUACACACCUUCUCUCACACCAUAGUAAUCUAAAUUGGGUAAAUUAAAACUGUACAGGUAAAGAAAGCUCCUCUAUGGGCUCUCUUACCUGCUGAAUCUCUCGGAGUUGAUUCAUUAUCUCCUCCAUGAGCUUCAAUUGUGCGUUCACCCUUUCUCUAUGUUCGGCAGUAAAUGUCAACUUUUCCUUUUCCUCCUGAACUUUUCGCAGCCUUUCCCUGAGCCAAUCAACUUCAGAAUCAAGCUUCAGUCUUUCAUUACUGAUUGUUGAAGAGUUCCUGUUUACUGAACUACUAGACAUUCCUAACCUGCCACUCGUACUCGAACUGCUUCUGGGAAUGUCAGGCUUAGUCUUUGUCAUGUUUCUAAUAUGGGAAUCACAUAAUGGUUCAUCAUUCCAAACCCCACAACCUGAAGCAACGCAGUUCAACCGUCCACUUUCUCUUUCAUUCACCUCCCACAGUUCAGCUUUAUCAUCAAUAACAUGGACAUCAUAGACAAUAGGUUCUUUAUCAAGAAUGGGACCAUGUUCACUGAGCCAUACUUGAACCCCAUAUUCACCAUCUUUCUCUUGACAAUCUUUGUCCUGAGAAAGAUUUCUCUCAAUGGCACCACUAGAUUGGACCGCUCCAGUAGUUAAUCCUUCAUAUACUUCCUUAUCAUCUUUUAUCACUUCUUUCCUCUCAACACUGUGCAGAUCAUGGUUAUCAGGACUUAUCUCAUAAGAAUCUGAACUCUUCUCCCACAUCUGCACCAAACCUUGUGAAGCGGAGGAAUCUAGAUCUUUGCUUCUUGGUGCUCCAGGUUUCGCAAAAGCACAAGUUUGAUUCAAUUUGUCAGCAGAGGAAGCCUCAAGAUUUGAUAACCAAUUUCCCAUUUCCUUACUGUUCUCAGUAUGCUGUAUCACCAGAGCUGGAUCUUCAUCCAAAACAGGAGAAGGGGAAAGCUCUCUUUCUCCUUUAUUAAUUAUACAACUAAAUUCACCUUCGGAUGGUUCAUUUCUUAAAUCAUUCAUCUGUCUGUAAGCUCCAAGUUCUUUCUCCAGAAAAUGAAUCUCUCUCUCCCUCCUAACGAGGAUCUCUUUCAAAAUGUUCAUCUCUUCUUCAUCAUAUGCAUAUUUUUCCUCCAUCAUCCUUUCAUACUGCCUUGAUUCCAUUUCUAAGGAAGCUUUGUCCUCUUGCAGGCGCAGAAUCAUGGCCAUCGCUUCAUCAGCAGCAGUUGCAGCAGAAGCCCUCUCUUCCUCCAAUUCCAUGUAAAGAGCAGCACAGGCAGCUUUUUCUCCUUGAAGAGCCUGUUCCAACAAUCUGAUCACAUUCUUUUCAUCUCCAGAAAUCCCUGGUGUACCUUCAGCCUUGGACAUGGAGCUUUCAACAGAAGAUGAAUCCUUCUCUCUUCUAUCAGCCUCCAAAUAUGAACCAUUCAGUUCAAAACCAUUCCAGCCUCUCUCAUCCAAGUCACUGCUAGUUGCUGCAUUUUUCUCAUCUAACAUAUAGCACCAGCUAAAAGGUCAGUACACAUUUAGAGCUAAUAAGUUUACAAGCUCAUGAUGACAACAAAACAAGUCCCCUACAACCAUACCUUCAACCUUCUAUAAAAGAUACAUUAACAUUUGCACUUGAGAUCUUGAAUAUUGUUUAGAUCCAACUUGCUUAAAGUAAAAACUAAAAUCUAUUGUGGAAAGCACAACAACAUGCACAAACACACACAUAUUGAUCAGAACUCAAAGAGGUCAGCUAAACUUUAUUUGAAUGAAAAUCCAAAAAGACCUUGAUUUAGAUUGUGUCACUCACCCUGAAGAACAUCAUCUAUUUCACUCACAGGGCCUCGACUUUCAAUGAUUUCGCCGUCACUAAUAGAUGUGGAACCACCAGCUACAACUGACUGCAUGGCAUCAGAUGGCAAAAUGGAAGAGGACUUUCCAUAUCCAAAAUUAGCUCUUCUUCGACGCCUAUUUGCAACUCUUUGCUUCUGAUUCAUAGUUUUCUUCUCUCUAACAUCACACCCACUUUCUUUAUCAGCUGAUUUUUGCACUUUUGGACCAGGAAACGAACUAGAACAGGAUUCAUCAUUCAACUCAAGAAGGCCAGUUUCACAUUUGUUGUCUGUUAAUAACUUCAGAUUUGAUUGGUGCUCUUGAUCCUCAAAACAAAUCGAAUCAAAAGAAAAACUAUUCUUGGCUAAAUCUUGAACAGAAAGGAUAACACUUACUGGCCAAUCAAUAAGUAGUUUAUGCAAGCACAACUCACAACAACGGAACCCCAGGAACCCAGUACAGGGACAUGGCAAGGGCAGACCGAAAAGAUGCAAGAAUUUUGAAAUGAAAAACGCAAUAGUCGAUCCACAAAGAAGAAAAUAAGCAAGAGUCAGGUCAAGAUAAGCGCAUAUGAGGCCAACCAAAGUCCAUGAAUGGUUUGCUCGGAAAGCCAUUGCUAUUCAUGAAAAUGCUUAAGAUAACAACUGGAUUUCGGUGGAACCUUAAAUAAGCAACCGGUGAUCACCAACACUUGGUCAAACAAAAAUCAAACACCCGCAAAGGAAACUGCAAAGUCUGCAAUGAUAUGCGUUCCAUAAUUACUACUCACCGUCAGAAAAAACACUACAACUCUACGGAAUUCGAAGUACCAUGGUGCAUAAGUGAGUAUAUACUUCUUAAAGCCAAAAUAGAUAAUAGCUAAAAUUGAGGAUCAUUAGAGUAAAAAUCCAAGGAAAAAAAAAAAAUAGAGAAGGAAUCCUCGUACAGAGAAAAUACCAAGCUAAAUUUGACCGGAAAUUUCAGUAACAACUACAAAACCCGUGAUCUUUUCUGUUUUUUUUUUCCAGAGACAAUAAAGCUGGGUUGUCGAUCAUAAGCUCAAAGACGAUCACCAAAUUAGUGAUUAUCCAUGCUACAAAAAGUUUAGUUCAUUUGGAAAGGGGAUAAAAAAGAGAAGAAGAACAAAGCAAAACCUGGAAUUUUUAGAGCAGCUUCGAGAUUUGUGACGAGCUCGUGGAAGUGAAGAGAAUGAGAAAGGGAUCAUGAAAACCGACAGAGAAUGGCUGAAGCUGAAUUUGAUUAUAGAAAGAAGAGCCUUUUAUGGAUUCUCCACGUGGGCAAGAUUAGCCUCUUAUACAGCUCCCUCAGAGCCGCGAAGCAACCUACUGGAACCAGACAUAAACCGUCACUUUCACGGCGUUGAAUGUUAUCAGGUGGAAAGUAAGCGCCAUUACACUAGGAACGGCGUCGUUUUGUUCAUUUACUAGUAACUUCCACUCCACUCCGUUGUUCUCUCCCUCCGUCGUCUUCCACCCGUAAAUCUCUCUUCCCCGAACAAGUUUGGUGAGAUCAUAGGCUCACUAGAGAGGAGGAAGAGAGGAUAGAAAUGAAUAGAAUUUUAAUAACAAAAAAUUAAUUUAAAAUGGCUUAAUUAAUUUUAAUUAGUCUUCUUUUUGUAAUAAAAUGAGAUUAUUCGGUGUAUACGUAAUUAACUAUAAAUAGAAAGUAGCAUUUAGGCAAGCUCGGUUUAGUGCGGGUUGUUUGGUUUGGAACGUAAUGAUAGUUUAAUAAAAUAAAGUAAAAUGAAAUAAUUAUUUAAUGAUAUAAAAUAUAAGUAAUUAUAGUUAUGUUACUCUACACGAGUGAAGUUAUAGUUUUGCAGGCGAUUAUAAAAAUAAGGAGAAAUUAUAAUGAUUAUUUAAACAGUGAAUAAUGAAAAUAUAUUUACUUAUAUAAUUAGAGUUGUAAAGUCAUAUUUAAGCUUCUUAAUUGUGCUUAACAUUCGGUAAUCAUUUAUUUGGUAAAAUAUAUAUUUAAAUAAAAAUAUUAUAUUAUAUUAGUUUUACAAAUAUAUUCUUUUACAUAAAUAAAAUUAAUUUCAUCAUGCAUCAGUAUGUCAGUAUAUUAAUUUAUUUUUGAUUUUUUUUUUAUUUUAAAAAUUUGAGGAGUAUCUGCGAAAUCCAGACACUAAAAAUAACAGUAUAUUCGUUUUCAUUCCUUCAGUCUGUUCACUUAAACCAUUCACGCCAUGCCACAUGGACCUAAAACCAGAACCUGCUGAUUUCCUCGCCUCAUUUCUUCUCUGCUCUUAACCACAUAGCUCCGAAACAUAUGUCUUCAAUGGCGGCGGUUUUCGUUAAUGGAUUUUUCUUAAACCCUCCUAAACCGGUUCAUACACCCUUCAAUCGACGACCCUUAAUCGAUGCGAGUUCUUUCAAUGUCCCUCGUCGGGUUUCCUCCGACAACUCUGCAUACAUAUUGGUUUCUCAGUUCCGUAGGUCAUCUAAUUCCAGGUAUAUCCAUUAUUCGUUCCCCUUUUUUCUUUACUUUCCAUUGUUUAUACUCGUUAUCAAAAGGACUAAAGGAAGUGAAAACUUGGAAGAAGGAUUUGGCGAGUGCGGUGUUCUUCCAUGAUCCCUUGGUUUGCUUUGCGUAAUUGAAUAAAUCACGUCUACUUAGUCAUUUUCAUUCGUAUCGUUGCAUUCGUCGAUGUGGUUUUCUUGUUAUAGCAGGUGAUGAAGUGUUGGCAUUUGCUUUACUAGUCAUUUCUAAAGGAAAAAGCCAGUAACUAGCUUUUAUUUUAUUUUUCUUUUUAACGAUAGGUUAGUUGUUUCCUGAUCAAAGCUUGGAUGUAUAAUGACUUAUUAUUAUUGGAUUUUUGAAGCUGGGACUUGUGAGCCUUUGGUUAUGAAUUAGACACUUAAUAAAAUUCCUUCAUUUUUUCUGGAACAUUUUAAAGAGUCUAUCAGUGCAUUGGAUUAUAAACUUAAUAUCAGGAGAAGUAUGAUAUUAUCGGAGAAAUGGUGACUGCUUGAUUAAUUGCUACUGUUGAGUUUUAUCUUCCUAUAUAAAUCUGGAGGCUAUCAAGUUGUGCUCAUUGCCGGCUGGGUUUUGAUGGAAAAUGUCAUAGUAAAAAUAAUAAAUGGUUCAAUUAAUUGUUUUACAUGGUAUUGGAGCAAAGGGGCAAAGUUUCCAAUACAGAUUGAGGUCCAAUACUGAUUUUCACUUCACUUAUUUUAAUUAAAUCUCCGCACAAGAAAUAAUGGCCUUGUGCUUAACCUAUACUUUCAGCUUCGUGGUUCAGAAUAACUGAUCCAAUUAAUUAUUUCAAGGAAGGAAAGAUGAAUAGGACUGUGAAACAACUAAUCUAGAACCCUGUGAUUGCAUCCAAGAAAAUUAUGCUCUUUGUACUUUAUGAAAUUUCCUCUCAAAUAGAUUUGCCUUAUUAUCUUUGAGAUUUCAUAUGUAAGAUGACUUGUAUCUCAGUAGCAAUUCUUGUAGUAUAGCCGAAUGCCACCUUGCAACUGAUUAUUGCAUAACAUAAAUGUUUAAUGCAUCUCACAAUCAUACAAGCAGGAUAAGAAGCCUUCAGGACGAGAAUACUAAUAAAGAUAACCCAGAGGAAAAACAGGAGGUUGCAGAGGUACCUGAAGAUCAAAACAUAGGUGCUGCUAGUACAGGUAGUUCAUUUCUGGCAAAAUUAUCAAUUGCCUUGGUUGUAGCGGCAACUAUCACGGUCAUAUCCAUUGGCUUCAAGCCAUCUGGUCCUGGAUCAUCACUAGGAGUUCAAUGUCUGGCUGAAGGUUCAUCAACUUUAGCCAUGGCUUCCCCUGUUGGUUUCACGUUCAAGGCUUUUGGAUAUAGAUUUGUAAUUCCAGAAUAUGCGCCAGGGUAUGUGCUCCUAGUUCUUAAUUUUCCCAGGAUGUUCGCUAAAUGUUAUAAUUAGAGCUAUUUCCAAGUCCUUUGUCCUUAAUUCAUUAAUAAACUGCAUUUCUUGGUCUAUCUCUCUCUCCCCUCCUCCCGCCUCUUCUUUUCAAAGCUAAAUAUAAACAAAUUCCAAUGCAAUUUCUUGAUAUUAAUAAUGGUUUGGGUACCACCUGAGAGGUGGCUGCAAUGGUAGAAAGUCCAUGAUUAAGGACCUUGCGAGUCCAAAAUCUUGCUUUUCAGCUGUCGAUAGCUCUACUUGUUGCUCGGGCAGUCUCAUGCCGUUGCGUUUGACAUAGUCCAAAAAAAAGACAAAAAAACAGCGUUUUAGUAAAAAAGCAGUCAAAUUGAUCUCCCCUCACCCCCAAAUGUAUUCUAUUAAAUAAACUGCUUCUGCUCAUUUUAUCAGAUUCAGAUUCAUACUGUCAAAUUAUGUGCUUGGCUCUUAAAGUCUCAAUCUUCUCAGGGCAUAUGUAGUCUUAGAGCUGUUUCCAAAUCCACAAUUGUUAAAUCAACUGCUUCUUUGAAUGUUUUUUUUAUUUUGCUUUUCUUAAUUGAAAACUUUCAUGGUUCAUGAAAAUAAUGGUCAUUUUUCUCCUCAGAUGUAUAUUGAAUAAAAUGGUUCUGAAGAUUCUUGUGCAAUACCCCAUUGCAGAUGGAUCUACUUCUGGUUGCUUAUGGCUGCAGGAUGUGGACUUUUUAUUAGCGAAGAGGCUCUAAAUAUAUGGGUCUGUGCUUUGUGCUGGUACUUCUGUUUCACUGACUCAAGCAUUUGCUAUGACUCACUAUGAUAGGUUUUGUUUUAUUGUCAAGGACUGCCAUUCCUUUUAGAAUUGUAAGGACUGCCAUUCCUUUUAGAAUUGUAAUUCUUUUGAACUUUAUGGUGAAUUUUCUCGCAAAUGUAGGUUGGUGUAUCUUUCGCGAGGAUGCUCUCAUUUGAUGGCACAUGGCAGUCCUUUAUUGAAUCUUUCUCCAGAAAUGCUCCUUACAUAGUAUCAACUGUUCUGUGGGUAUACUGGUUAGUUAUAACUCAGUUUUCUGUUAAGUUCUUUCCUAUCUGGUUGUUUCAUGUCAAUUUUUGUUAGUAGAUAGUGCAAAUGGUGAGGGAACCUUCUCUAGCGAUAAUAACAUGUUAGAGUUCAGACUUCACCACGUGAUUUUACCAGGCUUCAAGGCUUAAAUUUGUGUAUUAAGGUGAAAACUAUAGCUAGCAACCUUCUUGCUUAAGCAAUCUGAACCCUGUUUGCUUAUAUAUGUGAAUGAUUUUGUGUACAAUCCACCUACAAGCUGCUCAUGGAGAAUCCUAUUUUCUUAUUUUUGUUUCUUUUGGUUUCUUUUCCCAUUUCCUGUUGUGUUUCUCUUUUUAUCUUCUCUUUUUCUUCUGCUUAUCUUUUCUGCUGAGUCACUACAGCUUUGGGAGUUCUGAUUAUCUUUAUGUCAUGAUGACUUGAAACUGCAGGGGAGUUUGUAUAAGUGAUAUGAUACCAUUUUACCUUGGGAAGCUUUUCAGGCAAAGUGGGGCAUCUGAUGAUGUCUGUUCAAAGGUUUUUCCUAUCAACUGGCUUCUUUCAUAGAAGGUCUUCAGGUUUACUGAACAUAUGCAUAUGUUUGCAUGGAUCCAUUAAUCUUGAUGAUUGGUUAUGAGCCAAAAUGCAUAUAUGUUUUUUUCCCAGUAAUGAGUCAUGCAUUUUUGUAAUAUUCAUGAUGGCUGCAGUUAGGGAUUGGGAAAGAAAAAGCAACAAGCAUCACACGCGUUGUUCAAAGAUAUGGCAAUCUUGUAGGUGUUGGUGAGUUAUCAGGCUCAUGUUCUUAUUUCUAUAUGUUUUGUUCCCAUUCAAAAGGACAAACUGGUAUGUUCAAACUAUGUGAGUAUCUUGCAUGAUCAUAUGAAAUAAUCUGCAACCAUAAUGCCCAUCAAAAUGGAAAGUGAGCUUUUAAAUUUUCAGGUCAUUUUCCUUUUAAAACCUUGUGCCCAAUCACAUGCCUCUCUGGGGGCAUCAACUGCAUCUUUCCCCUUUAUUAUUUUUUCCUUCUCUCUACAACAGUUUUUUAACUCUUGGAAAACAGGACUUACUGUUACAAAUGAUGAUCUUUCUGCUUUAUCUGUCCUUUAUGUUUUGACUAGUGUAAUUAAACCAGAUACAGUAAAUAUAUUUGUAUGCUGAGUCUAGCAAAUAGCCAUUGUUCUAGCCCCAGUCAUUUCAUUAUAGUUCUACUUUUAGAUUUUAUUGGGAUCAAAUAGCCAUUGCUCAGGCACAUAAUAAACUUAAUGCAUUCUUAAACAUGCCUAGUUUCUUAAAAUGCUAGAAUGGUAUUUAGCUAAUUAUUCUUAUGUUUAUUGUGUCUGUCAUGCCCAUGGAUCUGGCACACUUGCACUAUGAUAUUCAAUUUUACUUCUCAUUAUCUUAUGAAUUAUGAUCUGCAGUUGAGCGAUUUUCUCUUGGAGUAAGAAAUCCUACUGCUUUUCUGGCUGGUGCCCUGGUAAAUAAUUGCUUGUUUUAUUAUUUAUUUGCUAGGGAUAUUUUCUGAUCUAAAAGUAUGGUUGGAUCUGCCCAUACGAAUGAAUUCUUUUAUUUAUUAAAGAGCGUGAGGUAGGAAAAUGUUAUAAGGAUAUAUGGGGCCGUGGAACGCCAAAGAAACAAAUCAAGCUCUCAUGAUGACAUAUUAAAACUGUCCAAGUUGUGAUAUUUUACUGCUAAUUGCCGAAUGCAUAGAUUUGAUAAUGUAUAUUCCAAAGCUAUACUGGGUUAGGAUAACCAAAGUAGAAACAUGUUCUGGGUAUGUCUUUUGACUUGAUAAUUCAGGUUACAGUUUAUAAUCUUAUCUCCAAAGAGAGUGAGAAAAUUUUGAAUUUUGGAAUUAGGAGAAAAUUUGCUUCAUAUACGCAAAUAAGUUACUUCUUUCUUAAAUGAAAGCCUCAAUUGCAUUAAGUAGAGGAAAGAGUGCUUAUGAAAGUAUGUCAUUAGUUGAUCUGAGAAAACUUAUUUUGCAUAUAUCCAACAUUUUCAGGGAUAUAGCCAUGUACAUAACACAAAGAAGGAAUAAUGCAUGAUAUCGAGUUAAAACAACAAACUUUUGCUGUUAUUUGAACCUGAGUUACAACAAUACUUUGAGGAAUGGUAUUAUUUGAUGAUUAUGAUAGUGAAGCUGGAUAUUUGUAUAUCAUUAUUUUUGUUGGAAGUAUGCACAUGAUAUAUUCUGAUAUCUGCUGCUUGUUAGAUAACAAGAUCUGUUCCUUUUAGUCAGAUGGUAUGAUCUCCAUAAUUUCUUCUGCCUAUGCAGGGUAUAUCUCCGGAUGUUUUUUUUGCUGGAGUUUGUUGUGGUGGCUUGAUUACUCUUCCAAUUCAGGUUGGUAUUGUUCUAUUUUAUAUAGAUAACAAUACAUGCAUGGAAAUAUUUGGUCUGAAGUCUUCAAAUUUUUUGUCUUUAAUACACCAUUAUCCCUGAGGCUACACAGGCACCUAAAUGCAAGUCUGUGGUAUCAAGGUAUUAGGGAUCAUGAUCGUAGCGCCCACUUUGCUAACUAAUUCACUUAUAAUCCGAACUUCCUACUUCAUACUCUGAAAAAUUAACUGAAAAGUUCAAUUAGUAAUCUGUCAGCUUCAGAUGCAAAGAACUUUGAUAAUACCAUAACUAUAUUCACUUGUGGUCUUGGGGUGGCUAAUGCUUCUUCAUUCAAUUUGUUUGCUAAUUCAGCUUGGAAUUGGAUUUCUUUUGAGGGAGAAUCCUAUACUUGGCAUUGCAACUGUUGCAACAGCAGUGGUAAAGAAAAUUCUUAUGCUGCAAGAGUUGCUAGAAUUGUAAAUUCAGGUGUCUAAUUUUAAGAUUCAUGCAGGGAAUUUGGACCAUCUUUCCUUAUGCUGCGGCUGCUGCAACAGCACUAUUCCUUUUUGUGCAACAGCGCUACUCUCCCUAGUCUAUCUAAAAUUUAUUGGCUGCUCCAAACAAUUACAUGAGAAAUGGAGCAUACCAGCCAUCAUUUAUUGGUUGGAUGGUAGUUGCAACCUUUGGUUGAAUAGAGAGAUAAAGUUUGAAAAUUGAUAGUUCUAUUGAUCUUCAAAUUCGAGCAUAGUUUAUCCAAGUAUCUUUUCUCAGUUAUGCAUGGGGUAGUUACUUGUCUAGUGGUCCAGGUAAAUCAGAUGCAAUAAGCAGCAAAAUUAGGUUAUAUAGUUCACUCUAACCUGAUUCCUUCUUAAGAUAUUUGUUCUCAGCUUGAUAUCUAUUUGUAUCAUCUUAUUGACAUACUAAUUGAUAUAUAAAUUUUUUUGUACAUGGGUUUUGCAUUCACUUGGUGCAUGUAAUUAAUAUACUGCGUACUUUUUAUUUUUUUAAAAAAAAUCUCUGUAUCGGUUGAUUGUUUUAGGGAGAGCAGUUAUUACGUGUCUGGAAAGAUAACUUAUCUCCAGUAAACUCGAAACAAGUUCUCGUUCAGAGUUGUACACUUUGAUUAGUCAAGCUAAAGACUUAGUGAGAGAAUUUUAAUUGGCUCGUUCAGUCCUCUGUAGCCUGGUGUGCUGCUGAAACUCUUAGGCAUGGGCUGCACUGCAUGGUGUGAAUCUUUAGUUUUUAGUUGUAGCUGGCAAAUUUCUAAAGAAGAGAAAAAAAUAGCUUGUUACUAGGAUUGCCAAAAAAAGUACACAUAUUCUUCCCAAAUACACCCAUCCUUCCCCAAAAUAUGUCUAUAAAGACUAAACUGACAACCUCCAUUAGAUAUAUGUACUUGUAAAAUUUGAAGGGACAGCCUCCCUAUUGUUUAUCUUCCAGUAUAUUACCUUAGACGCACCGUGUCUAACAUACCGGUAGUGUAAUCUGCAAAAGCCAACACUUUUUACAUAUUUGGCAGCUAAACUUAAGAUAAUACUUUUAAUUUGGUUGUGUACUUGUUGUGUCUCUAGUUAAUCAGCAUGCCCACGAGCAGCGAGAUAUGAAAGCUGAAUAGAGUAGGCUUCUUUCAACUCAGCCAGUACAUCUGCAAUCUUUGGCCUCCGCAAUGCAUCUCUCUCUACGGACCUUACAGCCACUGAGGCUGCCUUUUUCAUGCUCUCCACAUCAAAUGUCCCAUUCAGACUUUCAUCCACUAUCUCGAAUGCACCGGCCUGCAAGUAAGGCUUCGCCUGCAGUUCCAAAUCAAAGACAAAAACAAUAGGCACCCACACCCAUGAAUAUGUUACACGUAUGUAGUUAGACUCUUUUGUUCUGAAUUUGAACAUACAUUUUUAUCCCAUUCCAGGAUUCUAUAUUAUAAAAAAUAGUACUGAACACUAUUAUAGCAACUUGUGCUUUUUCUGUCUGAUUAAUAGAAGACAGUAAAACAAACAUCAUCUUAUACAAUAUUAUCUUUGCAUAGAAUAGCAACCAAAUGUGAGAAGUUGGGUAAUAUUGAAAAGUAAAGAAGGCAGUAGGAGUUACCCAUAACACCAAAUUAAAAGAAUCUGGAGUUCCAGAGUGACUUAAUGGCUCUCGCCCACAAAUAAGCUCUAGAAGGACAACUCCAAAGCUGUAGAUAUCACUUUUCUCUGUCAGCUGCUGGGUGGAAUAAUACCUGAAAUCAGAUUAACAAAUCAGUGCUGACAAGUUAAUCAAAUAAUAAGCCGAGUGAAUUUAUUCGAGAUUUACUCAGGAUCAAGAUAGCCUGCAGUGCCCUUAACAACAGUAGUGACAUGACUUGCGUCUGCCUGUGUCACUUGCUUCGAGAGGCCAAAGUCAGAGACCUUAGCAUUCAUCUCCUUGUCUAAUAGGAUGUUACCGCACUUCACAUCACGGUGUAUGAUUCUUGGUUCGCUUCCAUUGUGCAAGUAGUCCAAUCCUUUAAAAGAAUCAGGUCAAAAAAUGAGCCACCAUUGAUCUCUGACACAGUAACAAUGCCAUGCUAUAUAUAGGAAGAAGAGAUUUCUGUACUGAAAAUAGACUUGGAUGUUGCAUGAGGUGAUAAAUUAAACAAGCCAAGUCAAGCAAAAAUUAAACAAGAAAAACGCAAAGUUUACAUAGUUUGUUCAAGGUAAUUUACCCAUGAGAGAAAUAAAUUCAUGUUUACUAUCAAAAAUUUUAAAAAUUACAAUGCAGUUUUUCUUUUCAAACACAAGUUGUGGGACACUCAAACCUCACCAAGUAAUCAAGAAAUUCAUCUUUUAGGAUGAAAUUAUACACGAGGUGUGUCAUGCAGGAAAAGAUUCUGAAGGAGGCCAUACCAUAUGCAGAAAGAUCCUAUUUGCUCAUAUUUAAUCUUGUUAAAUUUAGUUUUACAUAUGCAUCUGUUUUUUUGUAAGACUGACCCGAAGGAUUGAGACAUACCUUUCGCAGCAUCAACAGCAAUUUUUAGUCUUCGAACCCAGCUCAAUGAGGUUUUUUUACUGCUAGGACCUGAAAGAAUCAUUGUAACAUAGAGAAACAGGUAUGUCUGAAAUGGAAACAAAAUUUAACAAAGAAUAAAUUUCUAAGUUCUGUGGUUUCUGCCUAACUUACCAUAUAGGUGAUCAGCUAGUGAUCCACCAGGUAGAUACUCGUAGACUAGUAUUUGUUGCUUCGAUUCAUAGCAAAACCCUUCAAAACUGACAAGAUUCUGAUGAUGGAUUUUGGAGAGGAGAUGCACCUAGAAACAACCCAAGACAUGGAAAACUAAGGUAAAUGAGCAAUGACAUUGAAAUUUAAGAAGUGCAAAGGAAAUCAUGUGACUUUAAGGUUAUUGUGGCAUCAAAUCUAACCUCAUUAAUAAAAGAAUCAGCCCCAAGUUGAGUUUUAUCGAAGCGAACUUUAACAGCUACUAGUCUUCCAUCUUGUAGCUUCCCAAGAUAAACAGAUCCAAAGCUACCAUGGCCUAUGACCUCCUUAAAGUUAUUUGUAGCUGUUUUGAUUUCUUUGUAAGAAAAGACUCUUGCUACAUUCCAGUUUCUGACCUCUGCUGAUGGCCCUGCACAUCAAGGUAUUGCUAUAGCUUAUAAGAUUGUCUCUACUAAACUUUCAUUAGAAUUACAAUUCGAAGUUCUGUGUACUUGGAGUGUAUGUCAAGCCAGUUCUCUUUUUUCUCGUGUAGAGAAAUAGUGUGAGAGAAAGGAAGAUAAGACCAAAUAAGGCUCCUCCAAUCACACCAAAUAUGAUUGCUAAAUGAUAAUGACUAUCAGUAUGUUUCUUGUCGGUUAAGAUAGUGACUUGAGGUGUCUCAAUUGAAGGAUUAGAUGAAACAUCAUCGCAUGCCAAGGUGGAGAAGGAAAGACAUAGAUUCCCUGAUGUUCUGCAGAAAACAAAUGCACAAGUAUGCAAAAAAUAAAUAAAUAAAUAGACAAAGAUUAAGGAUUAUAAUUAACAAAUUAGACUAUUAAUGUAAUACCUAACUUCCAAACUCUCUCUGUUCAAUGACACUGGUAGAGAACCUUGCAGUUUAUUGUUUUCCAGGUUUCUGAGGAACAUAGAAUUCAAAUUUUAAUCCAGCAGAGGACAUAGUGAAAAAUUCCAAAGUCUAGUACUUACAACAAGUGAAGGUUAUCUAACUCUCCCAAGCUGUCAGGGACUAUUCCCUGCAAACUGUUGUUUUGCAGAUCCCUCCAUGCAGGGGAAAGGAAUAGAAAAACAAAACAUUGUUAGUUCACCUUUGUGAUCAAUGAAUUACAAAUAUAUUUUGCAUUGGAGUAAAAUGUAUUGCCAUUUGAGAUGUAAAGGCUCCAAAGAGUUUCAUGAGAAGAGAAAUCAACAAAAUCUUAAAGGGGUAAAUUCUGGGGAGAGAACGCAACAGCUUACAGAAUUUGAAGGCUAACCAGGGGGGUCCAAAUCAGACCCAAAGGAUGUUAGCUCAUUGAAGCUCAGAUUCCUGAAAAUUAGCUAAGCAUUAUUUGUCUAAUUCAUGAACAACAAGAAUUCCCCUAUGAAUACUCUAUCGUGAAGAAAUUACAGUUUCUCAAGAUGUUGCAAGCUAACCAAAUUUUGUAUCUCUCCUGUAAGUGAAGUGUUAUGCAAGUCCCUGCAGCAUAACAUCAUCUGGCGUAAAUACAUAAAAGGGAAAAUUCAUGUUGAGACAGAAUAUUAGUAUAAAAGUUGUGUUGAUAAGUGCCUCACAGUGCUCUAAGAUCUAGCAAGUCACCAAACGUAGGACUAAUAGACCUCAAGUUGAUCCCUGAAAGCUCUCUGUGGAAAAAAAAAAUUGAUAAGCCUGCGCCAAUAGAUCUCUAAUGAAAGAUGGAACAGCAAUAUCAGCGGAUUGGAUUAUUAGAAUUCACAUACAAUGAUGUGACUAUGCUUCCUUCACAUCCAAUGUGAUUCCAUUGAAAAGGAGAGCAUGGAUCCUCUUGCCAUCCCAGAUCUAAACCAGUUGACUGCUCAAUAACUUGAAGCGCUGAAACUGCAAGAGCAGUUAACAGAAUAUCAUCAUUAAAUAUUCUGUUGUAGCCAGUACAAAGACAACAAUCAGAGGGCGAACAACCAAAAGGGAUUGACACCUGUAGUUGAGGAGACUUCUGAUGGAAUAUCAACAAUUUCAUACACCUCAAUUGCAUUGAUUUGGGGGGUGAAUCUGAUGCUUUUCAGAGUGAUGUUCAAGCUCCAGAUUCCCUUCUCCACAAAAUAUAGAGCACUGGCUUCUGAGUUUUGGACUGCAUAAUUUGAUUGUCUGACAUCCCCAUUGAUUAUGACAUCAAAAGAAGGGGAUAUAGGAAGAAUCCCAGCAAAAUAGAGGACAAUGUAAUAGUCCCCUUCAGUAUUAAGAGGAAGUUCAUAGCUUAAGACAUCUUUUCGUGCAAGGACUCUUGCUGUUUGCAGAACAGAAGCAGGAGGACUUUCACUAAGAUUUGACUCGCUGAAGCUCGAAAAAAUGUUGAUUCCAGUUGACACAUGAAAGGGAGAAUAGCUUUGAUCAGCAUCCCAGAUGCGAUCAAAGGGAUCAACAGGGUACCUAUGUCAACCAUAGAAAAAGCUGAAAAUGAAACCAGAUCUCAAAACCAAAGAUGAAGGUACCAUGAAAAUUGCAAGAUUUUACCGCAGAGAGCCAUUCAUGUAGCCACUAUUAAUACGAUAACACUUCCUCAGAGACUUGUCAGGGUAAUAAUCUUCCAUGGCAGUUUGGUAAGCACCUCGAGGGAGUGGCCGAAUUUCAAGUGAUGAAAUGACCGGAGCUCCAUGGGUUGGAAUAUUAUGCAAACAGAAGGAAAGAGUGUCCGUAGUAACUGGCCAGAUAAACUCUUCGGUCCAUGGAUCAUUCGUAGCAAGAGUUACAUUGCUAGUAAUGGCUGUACCAAGAGAGACAUAGAAUGCUGGAGGUUCUUCCAGUCCAUCAUAGUUCUUGUACACAAAUUUUGCCCUUACAAGAACCAGUGAUGACACAUUCAUCAAUGGCAAUUUAUAACAUUUUCGACCUUGAUCAGAAUCCGGGAAGAAACGAACUGGGACACCAUCAGAGGAGGCACCCUCUGUGUAAUCAAUGGUAGUUGUUUUGCCUGUGCUUAUGUAUGCAGCAUCUGAUACCCAGGAGAUGUUAGAUGAAUCAACAAAACUUGUCGCUCCACCACAGGAUAAGCUCAAGUAACCUGUCUCACCAUCAAACACGCACAACUAAAUUAGCAAGAGCACACUCAAAACAACUGUCCUCUACUUGUUUUCUUAGUGGAACAAGAACAAAAGAUCAAGAAAUUAGAGAAAUGAUCAAAAUAAAUAAAGCCUUGCAGUUCGUUUUCUAACUGGAAAUUUAUCAAAUACAUUGAUGUCUUGGUUGCAUUUCUAUUAGCAAUAUAGAGCCUAAAAGCAAUCAACAUUUGGUCAUAUUGCAUUAAAAAAGACAAUCAGAGAGGACGAACAAAUAGAGAAAUCAGUCAGAAGAAAGAAAUUAUACCAUCUGGAUCACAGAAAGCAACAACCCAGAAACUGAAAAAGAGAUUAACACAGACCCAGAAGGAGUUUAGGGCCAUAGAAUCAAUCCGACCCCUCAACAAAACCUGGCUGCUAGAAAUAGAUAUCUAGUUCCUUGAUACACCAAAAAGACAGAGAGCUAUAUUUACUUGAAAGAAACAAAAAAUGUGAACCUUAGGAUAAAUACUGGAAGAGCCAAGUAGUGGGAUUGAGGAGACAUGGGCUAUAAUUAAAGUUGGCGUGAUUAGAGGUACUCAUUAUUACGGCUUCAUUUGUUUUAGCUAUGAUUGUCUGCUAAUUAUAUAAUACUGCUUACCACUUGCACUACUAGUUUUGUGAUUCUUAAAACCAGACUGUCGAAGAUAUUAACGUUGGCUAACCAAGAUAUUAACGUUACUAUCUAAACGAAACCGAUGAUUGCUCCCCACAANNNNNNNNNNNNNNNNNNNNNNNNNNNNNNNNNNNNNNNNNNNNNNNNNNNNNNNNNNNNNNNNNNNNNNNNNNNNNNNNNNNNNNNNNNNNNNNNNNNNNNNNNNNNNNNNNNNNNNNNNNNNNNNNNNNNNNNNNNNNNNNNNNNNNNNNNNNNNNNNNNNNNNNNNNNNNNNNNNNNNNNNNNNNNNNNNNNNNNNNNNNNNNNNNNNNNNNNNNNNNNNNNNNNNNNNNNNNNNNNNNNNNNUCAAAUUCAAGCAAAAGACAGGAACGAGAGUCUCAUCAGCCCAUUAAAGAACGGAACUAAGCAAGCACCUGCACCAGAAAGCUCAGCCCCUAUCUCGAAAGCCAAAACAGAAUGAGCAGUCGAUUUCGAGAGCUCGACCGGCAAUGACCUUGUUCAGAAGGAAAAAAAAAAAAAAAAAAAAAAAAAAGAUUGAUGAGAUUAUGGAAGUACCAGAUAAAGCUAUAUAAAAAGCAUAACUCGAUGAAGUCGAAGUCGUGGCUAUCUCAGAUGAUUCAUGAAUCUUCUGUUUAAAUUCGUUCUCGUGACGAGCCAUUUGAGGGCCGCUGUAUGGCCUCUUACUGAAACUUGUCGGAUUAUCAACAAAGGUCGAUAUGUCCGAGUGGUUAAGGAGACAGACUUGAAAUCUGUUGGGCUUCGCCCGCGCAGGUUCGAACCCUGCUGUCGACGAAAUAUUUUUUGCUCAAUAUUCUCUGAUGCUGGGCUGCUAUUCUUAAUUGCCCUUCAGUACUAACGACUCUGUCCAAAACGAACCGAUAAUUGAAUUAAAAAAAAAAAAAAUUGUUUGUUUAUACGAAGAAAUGGGCUUGGGCUUGGGCUUGGGCUUGGGCUUGUGAGAAUUGGAUAUGUAGGCCAAAAUGGGCUUGGUCUAGAUGUUUAAACAAGUGAUCAAGUGAAUGGAUUGAAUUUGAACAACUAUGUAUUUUUAUUGUUUUGUAUAUAGAGAUGUAUGUAUUUAAAAGGUGAAAACUGAAAAUGAUUCUCUACAACUAACAGAACCUGAGAUUUCCAAAAUUUAGAAGUGGAUUUUCCAGAAUUUAAAAGUCAAAAGUCUAAAAAUCUACCAAAGAACUCUGAAAUUCCUUCUCCUUUUUUAUUAUACAGCAAAAUUUAAAAAGUUACACUACCUAUCUUCUUUUAACCCAUCUAGAAUUUAUAUGAAUAACAAACACUAUUGUUCAAGAAAAUAUAAUAAAAGCAAUCACUAAUAUCAAAUCGUAAUUCUAGAGAACCAUCCUGCUACACAACAGAAUCUUGAGAGUGAGAAAAUACUGCUGGCAGCAAUACAAUAUAUCUUAAAUUUAACAAAACCAGAUAACAAAUUGUGUCUUGAAAAAUUUUUCAACUUUAUGGUCUACAAUGGAAAUAACAACUUUCGUCAAACACAAUACUCAAAAUUGUAAGCUGCAACCUACUGAUAAAAAACCACAUCAAUAUUUAACAGCUGCAAGAAUGUCCAACUGUGAGCCAAGCUUCUCCUCUGCAGCUUUCUCAGCCUUCAGCCUAAGUUUGUUCAACUGUUUCUUCCUCUCAUAAACCACUUGAGACCUCUCCUUUCUCUUCUUUUCAAGCUCCUGCACACAACACAGUAAAUGGAAGACAUAAAUUACAAAAAGAAUUACAAGCUAUGCUGUAUGCAAUCUUGUUUACUAUUAAGCAUACUUGGAUAAGAUCACAUAAAACCCUAAGAAAAGUAAUCUAAGUCUACGCAUAAAAUAAACUCAAGAAACUUCAUUUCGUUGCUAGAGCCAAUACUCUGACAUGACAUUAGAGAUAUCCCAUUUGUCUUUAUCAAACUACAGCUAGACACUUCCUUCAACAGCCUAACAUAGUUAGUAGAAACUCAGCAUGCUGUGCCUCUUAAACACCCAUUUUACUGUUAGUGAGGACAGAAAAACCAUUAGCCAUCCUACAAACAGAUUAUUAAGGAAACAAAGAAAUUGAUGUACCAGAAGACUGGUAGCACUGUACAAAAACAAAGAGUUGCAGGGGUUGUUUAAUACUGGCCAUAUUUAUUUAUGCUUCGGAAGGAUGAACAUCAUCUACUUUCAGGUUAAGAGAGUUCACCAGUGAGAAGCAAUAAAUGGGAGAGGCACACAAUUUGCAAAGCAUUUUUAGAAGUCUUUGAAAAGAGAUGAUCAUUGGUCAUAAAGCUGCACUACAUAACAUAUGAAUGGUUCUAUCGAAGGGACUUCAAUCGGACUUAACAAGAAUCAUGGUAACCUAUGCAGAACCGUAAAGAUGAUAAAAAAUGACUUUUUAAUUCUAGUAAAACAGAAUUAAAAAAAUGGAGAAGAUGCUCCGAUACAAAGAACAGGAAUGGACAGAAUCAAACUGUAGAACAAAAACCUUCAUGGAACCAAAUUGCACAGAAAGUUAAGCAUGGAAAACAGAGAAAAUGAC
rnacentral:lncRNA from 1 species